rnacentral:lncRNA from 1 species
UUUUUUUUUUUUUUUUUUUUUUUUUGUUUAGGUAGGCUGUAGGUUAACAAGUUUUUUUUUUUUCUAUCUUUGCAAAACAUGGUAUUUUGGGAGGGAAAACAAGGUUCUCUAAUGAUUAUAUCACUGGUUCUAUGUCCAGAUCAAGGUAAAGUUCCUCAGCUGAAGAGAAGACUAAAAGCAGAUAGCAUCAUAAAAAUAAAUAUUGAGAAGGCCAUGAUUCACAAAAACCUGACAAAGGUUGUCAACAAAUAUGGAAUCCAUGAUCUCUGCAAAUAUGGAAACAAGAAAAUAUCAGAAUCUUUGAAGGCUGUUUAACUACAAAAAUGAAGAAAUUCAAGAUAACAAUAAGAACGAACUUCUAACCUGAGUCAGUAGGCGUGCCUCCCUCAGAAAAAGUAUACUGGCAAUAGCUGCAGGUCCAACAGUCCAAUCAUUUAACACAUAGGAAUUCAACUUAAACCGUAUGAAAAAGCUCCAAUAUGUAGCGAUUACAAAAGUAAACCAUAACUAACCUGCCUGCCCUUUCAAGGCCAAAGGAAAUGAUUCUCCUUGCUUAAAUGAUCUCAAACUCGAAAUACUUAAAGCCAAAAGAGUACCACCAAGGAUAACCCCAAAUCUAAUUGCAGCAGUGCUUCCAGUUACCAUGAAGGAAAGGAUGCCACCAAGAGAGAGAACCAAACCUUUAAAACAUAAGACCAAAAUCAAAAUCGCAAAUUUCUAUAAAAAUCUAAAGGACUAUGCAUCAUUUUAUUUUAUUUCUCAUAAGCUAUACCAUAUGGUAUCCCAACAUGAAAGUCGCGGAUUUUUGUGACGUCAUUGAGAUCAUCAGAUGAUGUUUGGAACGUCUCAACAAUUUCCUUCACUGGCUCGGGAGAAUUCUUUGCGGCUGUGGAGAUAAAUUCUUUACCUUCUUCGCUGAUCUCUUUAGCUACCUCAGUCAAAUCACACAUUGCCUUAUCACCCUGUAUUUUCAACUGCUCUGACGUUUCCUUCAAAAUUACAAAUGCUUUCUCAGAGUAUAUCUCAUACGCUUCCUGAGAGACACUUUUCAGGUUUAAAGCUUGUUCUUUGAAAGAAGCUAGAGUCUGCUUCCAAGCUUCUUCUGAUUCUUCAGCUUUCACUUUGGCAUUUUCCUUUUCCUUCUCCACCUCAACCUCUGGAUGCUUCUAAACAAAACAAGCGGAACACAAAUUAGAAAAUUCAUAUAAAAACUCAAUGCUAUAUGAUCAAACACACAGUUAAAAGAAAAACGAAAAAGCAUUUACCAGUAAUUUCAAACAAUUUGGAUAAUUACUAUACCAAUAGCCAAAAAUCCAAGAAAUCCAAAGCUUGAGACUGUACCGAUUCAUCGUGCGAGGCAGCGGCGGCUACAAUUGGCCGGCACCACAAGCUCCGCCGGUGCAGGGAGAGCGAGCCACCGCAAGAACCGAGCCCUUUCGGAACCGCAACCGGAGCUCCUCCAUGAAAUUGAUGGAAUCGCCGAGAGAACAAGGCGAGCGGAGUCGUGGCGGCCUUGGUGAAGCGAGAGGUGGAGCUAGGGUUAGGGUUUAAGAGCGAGAAGGAUUGCAACGUCACGGUCAUUUUGAGAAAGGGGUUUGAAAAUUGAGGGCGGAGGUGACGAAGAGGUUUAGGUCAGAAGCGAGAGAAUUGGGGAGUGUUGGAAGAUUAGCUGAAACAGGGAGGAGGCAGAGUGUUCACCUUCACUAUAGUGCCGCGAGGGACGUGAGGUGCACGCGUUUCAGGUGGGGUGUGUGUUUCUCAAAGUGAGAGGAAAUGAUACUUGGUAGUUGAUGAUACGCGCCAGAGCCCACUGAAUCUUUCGAAAGCGCCAACGUGUUGCUUCCUAUCUGGUGCGCCGCGGGUGCAUUGUUCCUCCGUGCGUCCUCGGUGUUUUUAGCCGCUUUUUGUAUGGUGAAUAGAAGAAGUAAACACUGUGUAGUAUGAACUGUGGAGCAUUACUACUAAUGAUUAGAACUUGUCACACCAAGAAAUCAAAAAGGAAAGUAAAAUUUUAUAGAUAUAUUAUCUUAUCUAUUUAUUUAUGAGAACGACAACAAACUGAUGAAUUGAUAUUCAAUUUCAUAUGCUUCUCUAUUAUAUGUAUCAUCAAAUUACAACUCUAAACUUACACAUCAACAAAAGACAAAAAAGUGUUGGUCUAUGUAUGUCGGCAAGAAAAGAUGGGAUUAAAUAUGUCAUUGCACAUUGGAGAGCUUGAGAAAAGUUCACUGGAAUUCUUGAGACAUUUUCAUGACACUUCCAUAACAUGACCAUUGGGUAGCAGAUAAGCAGACCAAGAAAGGAAUAGAGUUGCAUGCAAAUUACAAGGCAAAUGAUCUUUUUCAACACAUGAAUCCAAGCAAGGCACCUCUAAUCUGCAGCUUCCCUUUUCUCUCCUAUCGAACAGAAAAUUCAACUUGAACCAUAUGGGGAAAGCACACAAUGCUUAUGUAUCCAAAAAAAGAAAGCACACAAUGCUUAUACAAUGAUGGACUGAUGGUCCAGUAAAUCAUGGUUACUGGACUUAAUUAGGAGGCAGCCCAAUAGAGAUUAGGUCUAACAAACUGAGCCCAGAUCACUUGGAUUAUAAAUGGUUGACAUAGAUGCGCCAUUUGCGCCACCAGGCUGCCAUCUCCAAGAAACACAGUUAAACAAAUAAGACUGACUUGGUUUUCUUUAAUCGAAGUCAUACAAGCAUCGAAACCAGAGAGAGAUAUCACAGAAGAAGAAGAGGGUGUGAGUGAGUUUUAAAUUAGUGCAAGUUCUGGGUUUUGGGAGUUUCAGGAAGUCAAAGAGAAAGAGCCAAAAACAAGUUGGUGUAAGUUCGUUUAGGGUGUUUGAAACUUGAAAGAAGCCAAAGCUAUAGAUGGUGUUGGUUGGUCGACUACCAUAUAAUGGUGGAUUUUCACAGCCAUUGAAGACAAACAAAGAGUGUAUCAGAAGGAAUUUUGACUACACUUUCUCUAAGAGUUUGACAUAUCAAUAUGUCUCUAUGGCCACCCUGCAAAAGAAAUUAUGCAUAUUUUACAAGUGCUCUGCUGCCCUCGACAACCCUUUAGGAUUAAACUAAUAUGUUUGAUGCACUAUGUAUACUAAAUGAAACCUAGCAAGUUCUUGUUUACAGGAAAUCAUAGCUAGCAUUCUAGAUACCAACUGAAAUAAGUCAAUUAGUAAAGGAUGUGAGUUCAGAUUUGAGAUCUCAUCGGUCAUCCCAACAUGUAAACGUCAAGUUUCAUUAGUUCAUAUUUAUUGUUCUAAGUAUUUCUCUUUUAAUUAAGAGCUAUACUUCUGAUAACUUUGAAUACUAACAUUACAGUUACUAUGACUUGCAUAUCUUUGUUUCAAGACUAUAUUCUGUAAUGUUGUCUCACUCAAAUUGCAUACAGAGUUAUAUGUUUUUGCUUCAAGGUUUGAACCUUUUCUAUCUGUUCUAAAACGACCAUCAAAGUUAUUCUAAAACGACAACUAAAAACAUUGAUUACUACCAUUCAAAUUCAACAUUUAUAUCACAUAUUUGCUUGAUCGUUUAAUAUAAGGCGCAUCUAUUGUCACCCCACAGAUCAUUUUGCUCACCCCACAUUCUCUUCACACCCCACUCAUAUAAUUUUAAUUGUAUGUUUACUUUGUUCACCCAUUAACAAUACCUAAAAAACCAUUUUCUCAAUUUUACUUUGCUCACCCUACAUUCUCUUCAUAUAUUUUUCAAAUUCAGAUUUGCUCAAAGUAAGUAAAAUCACCAAGUGAACAAAAAUUCACAUGAAAGUAUAAAUCCAAGUUAAAGAACAAAAAAAAACUCUCAAAUUUAACAAUUUAAUGGUAUCAGUCGAUAUCAAGAUGCAAAAUAUCUGUAAAUGUAUCUGUAGUAGCAACGCCUUUCAUACUUCUAAGUUUUUUGAACUGAUCUAUUCGUUGUUCAUAAAUACGGUACAGUAGUUGUCCAUAAGAAUUUACAUACAAAGUCGACAUAAGAAAUAAUGAGUAAAAGGAUAGAUGAAUCAUCAACAAAGAAAAAAAAAUACAAACAGUUUACCUCAUCUUCAGAUUAAAUGCUAGUGUCUUCAAACUCACGAUCGAAUAUGAUAAAUCUGGGUUAAAGUUAUGAAAUUUGUAUUCAUCCAAAACAAAAAGAUAAAAAAGAAAAAAAAUUAUAUUUGUAACAACUUAUUGUCCCUUAAUGUAAUUUUACAUCAGGAUAUUUUAGUAAUUUAAUAAAUCAACAAUUUGUAAAGUGAGCAAAAUGGUUUGUAUGAUGACAAUAAGUAUACCCUUAAUAUAUUAACAAACGACACUCUAAAAACGUAAUAACAAUCUAGUUUAAAUCUACAUAACGAUUUGCAUUUUGAAUAACCAGCCUCAAAAUCUCAAAUUGUGUUCCAAACAAUCAGUCCACCCAUUGAAAAUUUGUUGAAAAUCAUAAAUAUGUAUCCAAAAAUUCACGUAUUAGGAAACUAACAAUCACAUAAAAAUACAGCCACGUAGGAUAAUUAAAUAAGUCAAAAGCCAAGUGCAUCACCCAUCUGCUUUGACUAAAAUUGGACUCCCGCGCCCCUCCUCCCCCCCCCCCCCCCCCCAACCCUAAUAUAAUCAAGCUCUCUCUCUCUCUGCAGUUAGAAGAGCCUUAAAUGCUCUUCUCCUAUACCUUAACUCAGUCUGAGCUAGCAUCACCCACAACACCCCCCACACCAUUAUUAUUCUCUGUCACUCUCUUCCUCUCUACCUCACUCCCUGACAUCACCCCCCUUUCUUUACUCCCUCCUUCCUAUUCACUCCUUCCCACGCCGCUCCCGGCGUUUCCCCGGCGACCCUUCCAUCUUUGUCAACUCCCUCCUCCUCCGACGAUCAUGUUGUUUCUCCGGUCAACAAAAACCACCUAAAAAGGUUAAGACUUAACAAAGUGGAAGGUGGUGUUGGUGCGUUACUUUACUUUUUCUCACUCUCUUUUGCUUUCUUCAUCAUCAUUACAUUUCCUUAUUAUUAUGCUCUCCUGUCUGCUCCUCACACAUACUCUCCUCAUUCUUUAACUUCCAUGAGCUUUCAGACUAGCUUUGAAACUUUCAUGAGGUUGUGAGAAUGUCACUCAUCAAUAAGCUAGUGUUUCUUCUGCUACUCUGCCUGCCUGUACUAGUGGUUUCCUUAAACCCUGUUUUCAACGACGACGUUUUGGGGCUGAUCGUGUUCAAGGCCGGGUUGCUGGACCCGGAGGCCAAGCUCAGUUCGUGGAACGAAGAGGAUGACACUCCUUGUCAUUGGGUCGGUGUCAAAUGCGAUGUGAGAAGUAACAGAGUCUCUGAGCUUGCUCUGGAUGGGUUUGGUCUAUCCGGGCAUGUGAACCGUGGCCUUUUGAGGCUGCAGGUCAUUCAAAGACUCUCACUUUCUAAUAACAACUUCACUGGGUCUAUAAACCCUGAUCUGGCUCACAUUGGGACUUUGCAAGUCAUUGAUUUGAGCCAGAAUAGCCUUUCCGGGUCGAUCCCUGAUGAGUUUUUUCAACAAUGUGGGUCACUGAGAGUUGUUUCGUUUGCAAAGAACAAGCUAUCUGGGAGAAUUCCGGAGUCUUUGAGCUUCUGCUCAGCUUUGGUGGCGGUGAACUUCUCGUCGAAUCAGCUUUCCGGGAGUUUACCAUCCGGGAUAUGGUAUUUGAGGGGGCUUCAGGAGCUGGACUUGUCAGGGAACUUGCUGGAGGGUGAAGUUCAUGAAGGUAUUGGUUAUUUGUAUGAUUUGAGAGUAGUUAACUUGGGGAAGAAUCGGUUUUCGGGGUGGCUUCCCGGGGAUGUUGGAGGCUGUUCUCAUUUGAAGUUGCUUGAUUUUAGUGAUAAUUUGUUUUCUGGGGGGAUUCCUGAGUCGAUUAAGAGACUUGGUUUGUGUAGGUCAUUGAGUUUGAAGGGAAACUCUCUUACAGGUCAAGUUCCAGCUUGGAUUGGUGAGUUGAGAAGCCUUGGGAUGUUAGAUUUAUCUUGUAAUAACUUUUCUGGUGGAAUUCCUGGUUCAUUAGGAAAUCUAAAGCUACUUGAGAAGUUGAAUUUGUCAGUGAAUGAAUUCACUGGGAGCUUGCCAGAGUCACUGACAAAUUGCUUCAACCUUUUAGCUCUAGAUGUUAGCCGAAAUCAGUUGGUAGGUAAACUUCCUUCAUGGAUUUUGAAGCUUGGUGUAGGACAUGGAAAGCUCGAGUACAAUCCAUUGAAACCAAUUGCUGCCUCUCAUGGAGGUCUUCAGGUGUUGGAUUUGUCUUCCAAUGCAUUUUCCGAUGUGCUUCCAUCUGAUAUCGGGGUUCUUAGUAGUUUGCAGUUCUUGAAUGUGUCACGGAACCAGCUUCUUGGUUCUAUUCCUGCAAGUAUAGGUAAUUUGAAGACAGCAUAUGUUCUGGACUUGAGCGACAAUAGGCUGAAUGGAAGCAUUCCUUCUGAAAUUGGAGGAGCAGUCUCACUCAAGGAGCUAAGGCUGCAUAAGAACUUUCUAACUGGGAAGUUACCAUCUCAGAUUGAGAAGUGCUCAUCUCUAUCAUCUCUGUAAGUUCUCUUGUUCUGUUUUUUUAACUGUUUUACUAGUUAUGUUCGUUCAUGUGGAAUUUAAAACUUCAGAUAGCUAGACUCAAGCUGUAUUUCCAGUGUUAUUCAUUGUGUAUAAUGGCAUAUGGUUGAACAGCAAGAACAUUUAUAACUGAUGAAAAUGUAAACAGGUAUCAUUUAUAACAAUUUUUUUUAAAAAAAAAACUUACAGUUAGGAAAAGUACAAGCAUAAACAUUUUGAUCACCAAUUUUAACAGUCUGCAAAGGUACUCCACUGCUUGUAAACAAAAUAAAAUUCAAGUAGCAUCCUAUGUUUGUUUGGAAAGAUAUAACUUAAUAGUCAAAACUUUUGAAGGCAAUACAUUGUUCUGAAUGUCUUUUUGUUUUAUUUAUUCAAAAUUUACAGGUUGCUAUCCCAGAACAAUCUUUCUGGCCCUGUUCCUGUAGCCAUUGCAAACCUUACCAAUCUUCAAUACGUCGACUUGUCUUUAAACCAGUUCUCUGGAAGCUUGCCUAAAGAGUUGACUAAUCUUUCCCACCUCCUCUACUUCAAUGUCUCCUACAAUCACCUUCAGGGUGAGUUACCAGUGGGGGGCUUCUUCAAUACAAUCUCACCCUCAUCUAUCUCAGGCAAUCCGUCCCUAUGUGGUUCUGUUCUUAAUCUUUCAUGCCCUGCUGUUCACCCCAAACCCAUUGUCCUAAACCCAAAUUCUAAUAGCACUGGUGGUGGCUCUUCCUCUCUAACUCAUGGUCACAAGAAUGUAUUCAGCAUAUCUGCCCUCAUUGCCAUAGGUGCUGCUGCAUUCAUUGCAAUUGGUGUUAUAGCUAUUACUGUCCUCAAUAUGCAUGUGCGGUCUUCAAUGACACAUUCUGCUCCUCUUCCGCUACCUGGUGGGGAAGAUUUCAGCUGUUCCCCGAGUACUGAUUCAAAGUAUGGCAAGCUUGUUAUGUUUUCUGGUGAUGCUGACUUUGCUGCUGGGGCACAAGCCUUGCUCAACAAGGACUGUGAGCUUGGUCGUGGUGGCUUUGGAGUCGUGUACAGAACAGUCCUCAGAGAUGGGCGUUCAGUUGCAAUAAAAAAGUUAACAGUCUCAAGUUUGAUCAAGUCCCAGGAAGAUUUUGAGAGGGAAGUAAAAGGACUUGGAAAGAUAAGGCACCAUAAUCUUGUGACACUUGAAGGGUAUUACUGGACUCCUUCCUUGCAGCUGCUCAUAUAUGAAUACAUACCAUGUGGAAGUCUGUACAAGAAUCUGCAUGACGGACCUGACCAGAGUGGUCUCUCUUGGCGACAGAGGUUCAACAUAAUUCUUGGGAUGGCAAAGGGUUUGGCUCAUCUGCAUCAAAUGAACUUGAUCCACUACAACUUGAAAUCAACUAAUAUUUUGAUAGACAGCUCUGGUGAACCGAAAGUAGGAGACUCUGGUUUGGCAAGGUUGUUGCCAAUGGUAGACCGGUGCAUCUUGAGCAGCAAAAUCCAAAGUGCACUUGGGUACAUGGCCCCUGAGUUCGCUUGUCAAACGGUCAAGAUUACUGAGAAAUGUGAUGUGUAUGGGUUUGGGGUCUUGGUUUUGGAGGUGGUGACUGGAAAGCGGCCUGUGGAAUAUAUGGAAGAUGAUGUGGUGAUUCUCUGUGACAUGGUGAGGGGGGAACUUGAGGAAGGCAGGGUGGAAGAAUGUCUUGACAGAAAACUUUUGGGUAAUUAUCCAGCAGAGGAGGCCAUUCCAGUGAUCAAGCUUGGUUUGAUAUGUGCUUCACAAGUUCCAUCAAAUCGUCCCGAUAUGAGUGAAGUAGUCAACAUUUUAGAACUCAUCCAAUGCCCUUCAGAAGGCCAUGAAGAUUAGAUUAAACUCAAUAUACAGAUGCAGAAAGCGACAUAAUGUUCUGGUGAAGAUCAAUCCGGUUUUUUUCAAGUAAAAGAAAAAAAGAAUGUUGGAGGAUUUUUCUCCAUUUCUUUUCAGUCAUUUUCUUUACUAUAUUGUAUUCCUUCUUUUGUACUUCUUUAUCAAUCGAGUUCUAUAGCACUUGUAUGGUUCCGGAUUGCUUUUCACCGGUUUGAAAUGGGACAAUUUGAGUAUGUUCUUUAAUCAGGGAUCUCUCUCAGCAUAAACUAUAAAACCUGAUUGCUAUACUGGUUUGAGAUAAGACACUGCAGUAUUAAUAAAGCAACAAUGUAAUUGACGCAGUUCGCCAAACUCUGAUUUUCCAGAGUAGAAGUCUUGAACUUUGUCGCAGCAAUUUCUUCAUCAUUCAAUGAAGAGAAUAAACUAAGCUAAACACAUGAUGAGCAAGAUUAAAAUCUAAGCUACCCCAAGAAGUGAAUGGGGAAAUUAGUAUAGCAAAUGAUGCAGUCCAAAUGAGAAACACUCUUUGCUUUAACCACACUUUUCUGUUGGCCAUGUUGCUUCAUUUCUACUACAUUUGAUUUCUAACUUUACAAUUCAAAAUGAGCAUUAUAUGCAUAUAUAUGCGUACUCCACUGACCCUAAUCAACCUGCUGUCUUCUUUAUCAUAAUUUGAACUCCCAGUUCCUGCAAGCAUGUUCAAUAAUUUACCCUUAGAUUUGAAGCUUUAACUUAAUCGAAGUGUUGGACCCGAGGGGCGAGGGGAACCUAAUCAACUGGCCUCGAACACCAUCAAAGCACCUCACAUGGUGCUUCUCAAAAGCACUUGAAAGCUUUCUCCAACAGUGAUUAUGUAGAACAUGGCAAUCAUGCCAUGCAUACUACAACAGGAACCUUCUGGCUUUUGGCUUUUGCAUCAGGCUUGGUUGGUUGAUUCAUGAUCACGCUACAUAAGGCUUGGAACCAACAAUCUGUUAACCAGUUGAUCAGGGCCAAGGCAAAUACCCACAUCGGAAAUCGAUGAGAUAGGAAGAGAAAACAAGGAAUAUAUUUUAACGAGAAACAGAAUGAUUGAUAUCCACCAUGCUUCCACUAAGAACCUAAGUAGGGAGACCAUGUAUUGGGGGCCAACAGAACAAGAGCAAGUUUUACCAACUCAAAAUAAUCACACAACUGUAUGCAAGUAAGUAAACACAGAGUUUCAACAUUCCGAAACAUCUUAGUUCUCGAAUGAAACCGGAGUUUCAAUAUUCCGAAACACCUUAGUUCUGAAAUGAAAUUUAGUACCAGUUAUUAAUAUUAUCACUGUGACAACAAAUCACCCUAAGAAAUAAAAUAAUGCAGUGUAUUGUGUACAAGGUUACAGAAAAGUAUGUGAUUUCCGGUGAAUCAGUGGCAGAUCUUAAGCUAAGAUGAAGUCAGAGAAUGUAGUAGGACCGGGGUGAUCUGACACCAACUUCAUGGGACAUGGGACCUUGCUAACAAAAAGGUAGAAUAGAAACCUUAUAUGUCUGUAUUUUGCGCACUAAUUAAUGCCUUCUGACAUAAGCAACUCAGUUCCACAGUGAGCUUACAGUACUAAAUUAUCAGCUUGAACAUGGGCAGCAAAACUGCAAAAGCUAAAAGCAAGCAAUAUACUCAACAUGCUUUCUGGAUACAUCGCUAUAUUUGCUACAUUUAUUUCCAAAAUUAGUAGAGUUGAAAGUUGAAACAUUUAAAUGGAUGAGUUCCAUUGUUCCAUGCUCAUGUAAAACGGUAAAUGUUUUAACACAAGUGAAUUAAUUCAGGAACAGUGUUCAAAGGAAACAAAACCAAGGGAGUGAAAUUGUACUUUUGGACAAAAAAUAUAUUACCUCUUGCACUUACAGUAAAUAUCAGGCACUUAUACAGACCUAUUUCCUGGGACAAUGACUACACAAAACUCACUAGUUUCAACAAGGGCAGACUAUUAAAAAAGGUUUAACUUUCGUAUUCGGUUUUCUGGGAUCUUCAUUCGUGUCCCACUUUCCUGAAUCUUUUGAGCAAAAUCUAAUCUUAAGCUGUGUUCUCAUCUAACUAAUCAUCCCAGUUAUUUUCCCACCCAUCUUUGUUUGAAGACCUUGCAGUAAGACCAUUAGCAGAGAUGCUUCCUACCAGAUGCCCUCCAGGUGAUUUCACUGCAUUAUCUCCAUCCCAGUCGUCAUCCCAACCCUGAUCCCAACCUUCAGCCGUAACCACCUCAGUUGCUGAAGCCGAUUCCGGCAAUGCCAUUUCAAGUUCCUGAUACGGAACUCCACCUCCAGUUCGCUGUUUUCUCCUCCUAACCAGGCAGAAAGCCCACAUCCCUCCAAAAAUUAUCACUGUAACAAUCAACAAGUAAGCACCGUUGACUGGUGUCACUAACUUCUCAUAAGAAGGGAAACGCAUGAAAAAGUUUCCUUCAGAUACAAAAGGGUCCAUCUGGAGCACGCAUUCUCCCUUUCCAGCUUUAAGUACUAUUUUGUUGCUUUUACCCAUUUUGAGCUUGAUCUGCAAAAACAAAGACACAAACAAUGCGAUUUUGCUACUCAGAAACAAUGUGAAGCUUCCCACAUACAAGUAACAAAAACGUAAACACAAAGUCCAUGGUUCCUCCAUGACUCCAAAUAGUGAACCAUACAAAACAACUUGACAGAUAAUGGUAUGGUCAUGUGUCACUUAAAUAUUCAAGUAGAUCCUCUAUUAAAUUCAUUGAUUGUUUUUCAUAUCUUAGCUGAAGAUUGAUAAUGAAGAAUGUUCGUCAUCCAACCCUUUCCACUAGCCUUAUGCAUAUUCCAGUCAUAAUUCCUACUCAAUUUCCAAUAGUUUAGAGGCAAGAAAGCGAGAGGUGAGCAUGGUAGGGAGGAAUGGAUAGGAUUAGAACUGAACCAAACCCAUUGAUUAUUUUUCAAUCUUGUUUUAAGAAGAAACCUAAAACCACACUUUUAAAAGUCCUAGUGACCAGAAUAUACACCCCAAACCUAAGCAUUCGUUCUAAAUUUCACCACCAAAUAUCUAGAUGCCAAUGAUUCAAAUCAGAGAAACAAUAACACGAAAGAUCAUUACAGUUUUUUCACCUUUUUAUAUUUGUGUUUGGGAAUCUUCAGGUCCAUGGUAUCUUCUGCAGAAAGGUUUCCCUUUAAUGUGCUGUCGCGUACAUUUUGGACCAGAAUGACUGCUUCUGUUGAUUCUGCAAUAUAUGAGCAAAAAAAAAAAAGUAAAUAAAAACUUGCCUCACAAAUAAUUAUGAGGUCAAAUGGUAUUGAAUCAUGUCUGGCACUCUGACACUACUAGAUUAAUCUAACAUAUAUACGACAGAGAACAUGUCAAUGAAUUAAUGGUUUAAUAAGAUGUACACAGUCUAUAGCAUCUUAGCUGAAUCCAUUUAAUACACACACACACACAUUCCAGCACCUGCCUGCAAUAAUGAGGCCAGGGCAAUUCUGAGUAGUAAUUGAGACAAAGUGGUGCUUGAGGUGUUUAAUUUGGUUUUAUCAAUUAAGCCUCCAGGCUAUACCUAAGAGAACCCCGGAUAAUUUCAGAUUACAUUGUGGACUUGGGGAACUCAACAAAGUCAUGUGUUACUUACUAAUGGGCAAGUUAUAACAUCAAAUGGUACUUCACUUUAUAACCCUUUUCACCAAAUAGAAAGGUAUUGCAAUCAGGCCUCACACUGUAUAACAAGCCAAGUUCACAUACAAUUAUACAUGAUACACACAUAUAUAUAUAUAUAUAUAUAUAUACACCUUGUACAAAGGACUUGCGCACCAAAUGGAUAAAGAAUAGAGCUGCCAAGUCACAACUUGUGGUUUUUUAUAUAACCUUUACCAAAGGUAUUUCCAUAACAAACCCAUAAUGGCACUCUCAAGUUACAUUUUAACUACCUAGAGCAGCAUAAAUGAGACACAGCUUGAAUCUUACUAAAUUUAGUUCUGAUGAUAGCACAAGUAUGAUAAAAUGAAAAAUGUAUCAGCACUCUUAUAUAAUAUUCAUGCAAUCAAGCAAACAAGUUAUCAAAGAAGGGUUUUCAUCUUUCAAGUAUUCUACCAUUGGCCUAAUUGUGUUCACUGAUUCCCUCACAACUGCUCAUGGCUCACAAAAAAUACAAUGCUUAUAUUUGAGUGCACAAUAUCUUAACAAGAAAUAAAAAUCAGUCCAAAAGUGCCAGCAGUAAUGUAACUUACCCCUAUCAAAGCUCUUAAUGCAGGCAACCAUAGCCGUAUUGUUGCAUGUUAUGCUUACCCCAUCACAGCUUUCUUCGCUCACAUUCGGUACAUUGGUCACAUUGUCACUUUUAUUCUUAGUCUUCUCUACUUCACCUCCUUCCACAUGAGGAGGCGGUGGACUAGCAGAACCAGGCGCACUAUCCGAAUGCUUUGCAUUUGGAUCCUCUUCCGGUGUCUUGCCAGGCACCGGAUUCGGCUUCUUAUCAGUCUUCGGAGCUGGAUUCUCCUUCGGCUUCUUCUCCGGAUUCGGAUCCGGCUUCUGAGUUUGGUUAUUCUUCCCGUCACCGGCAUCAGUCGGCGGACUUACCGGAGUCGAUUUAGUACCGUUAUUCGGAUCCGGAUUCAGGUCCGGCGUCUUGGCGGGCGGCGCAGAUACCGUUUUGUUCUUCGCAUCGUCAACUGGCGUAGGAUUAGUAUCAGGAUCAGGUUUAACAGGCGGCGGUGGAGUCGCCGCCACCGGAGAAGCCUUAUCCUAAGAAUUAGCCAUAUAUGAAUAAACAAACUACCAAUUCGAAACAAAAACCAACUAAAUUCAGAGACGGAGGAGAUAGAUUUACCGGCGGUGAUGUGGAAUUGUCCGAAUUGACCUUCGUCGUCGUCGUCGGAUCACCGAUCAAAAAUCUAUGCUUGGAGAGCGAAGAAGCAUUGGAGGAAUCGGCGACGAUGAAGAGCAAUAACAACACCGUCAAAGGGAUAGUCUUGAACUGACAGGGAUUCGCAUCACCGCGGCGGAACCCUAGGAAGCGAUUCGAAUUGCGAUCCGAAUCCAUUUCCCGGGUGAAAUUGGAGGCUUUCUUACGACAUGUGUGCGAUCUUGAGCUGGGAAAUGAAGAGGUGGCUUGAAUUUGACGAUGUUGAAUUGGAGAGAGGUGGGUUGUGAUGAUGGAAAAGUUGGAGAUGAAUAGAAAGCAAACCCUAAAUUUGAGUGGGUUUUCUGAGCAGAGAUUCGACGCUAGAUCGCUGGGGAAGAAGAGUCGAGGAGCUUAACAGAGAUGAAGAAGAGUGAGACAACCAAACCAAUCCAACAGUUUGGUGUGAAUAAUUUAAUGGGCCUUAAUGGACCUUUCUCUUUUAUGUGGGCCUCCGUACUAGUUUUGGUCUCUUUGGUCUGUUUGUUUGUUUUUUUUGUUUUUUUAAUACAUUACAAGCAUAAGUUAUACAUUGUAAUGAAUUAAAAUGGGUUGGAACUCCAAAAUGAAAUUUGGAGAGGUGUCCUUUAGAUCUGAUUCACCCGUUAUAAUAUAUAUAGACUAAGAGAAAAAGCAAAUUUAAAUGAAUCUUCACUGCUUUUGUGCUAAUUAAGCCUCCAACCAUGCAAGGGAAAUGAGAUAAUAUCAUAAUAUACAAGGAAUAAGACAUAAUCUAUAUGGGUAGUGUUAGGGGGCAUUAAUAAGGUCUAAGAUUUAUGACAUUGAUCUUAUGUGGCAUGUCAUGUCACAUAGACACAUCAUCAAUUUAAUAAAUCAUGUCAUUUCAUUCUUAGGUAAAAAUACAAUCUUAAUCUUAAUAAUUAAUGGAUGUUACAUACUAAUAUGCAAUAUUUUCUUACCCUUUUAAUAUGGAUGCGUAUAUACCAAAUUUAGUUAAUUUUUUAAUAAUAAUGACCAAGUUAAUAAUCAUACCAAAUUAGGCUUUAUACCAUAAAUCAAUUUCGUAAAUUUAUUAAAAUUUCUUUCUAUCUUUGUGAAUCGAAAUUUAGUUCCAUUUUAAUAUUUUAUUUUUGCAGUUUAAAAUUAUAUAUAAGCCAUUCUGUAUCGAAUUUUUAAAAUAAAAUAAAAAUAGAAAAAUCCCUAUCGAAUUUCUUUUGGAUGAUUACGUAUAUAUACUUUAUUUUGGAUGAAUUAUAUAUAUGUAAAAAAAAAAUAACCUAGACGAAAUUGUUUUUUCUUGGACAAAUUAUAUAUGUGUGUGUGUGUGUAUUUCAUAAGAAUUCGUUGUUUUUGAACAAGUAUAUUCUCAUAAAUAUAUGUAUUUUCACACUAUAUGUUACGUUCAAUCUAAGCAUAAUAGUGAUGAAAUGAAAAAGAGAAAGAAAGAAAUAAAGAAAAUACUAGAAAUAUAUAUUUUUAAUUAUAAAGAAAAGACAAAUUAUUUUUUUUCUCUUAAUAAAAAGAAAAAAUAAUCUAGAGUAUUGGAUUUAGAAGGAUACAAUUAUAUUUUUGCUUAAGAAUGAUAUGACAUAAUAUUUUUAAUUGGUAAUAUGUCUAGGUGUGAUAUAGAACAGAUGGCGUUAGAGAUUGAAGAACAGAUCGAUCGAAACAAGUCCAAACCCGGUUUGCUCCAAAUUUGGCGUUCGGUGUCCGAUUAACCAUUAUGAUACCUUUCUGGAAGCGGAACGGGCCAAUGAGACAAACUCGUCGCUUUGCCACGAUGUAUGGGCUUUUUAGGCCUUUCGAGUCCGUUUAAGCCUUCAAAAUACAGAUUUACUUGUUUUCAACAAUUAUUUUUAAUAGUUUGUUUUUGGUUAGGUUUUCUUUUAAUCCAUGGGUUUUUAGGCUUUGAUGUUAGUUGCCUUAGGGUUUAUUUACUCCUAUAUAAGGAGCCUCUAUCGAUUGUAGUCGUUAGCUUUUUGAUUAAUAAAACCUUUGAGAUUUUCUCAACUUUUCUGGUGGAUUCUAGAUUCUCUCGUGGAUUCGAGAAAACCAGACUUAUGGAUUCAAGUCGCCGUUGGUGGAUUCCAAUGUUUAUAUUUCCGCUGCAUCAAGGUGAUAUAGCAUGCCACCUAAGAUUAAGGUCAUAAAUCUUAGGCCUUAUUAAGGCCAAAAAUCAUUUUCCAAUCCAUAUAUGCAAGUAAGAAUAGAAGUGUACAUAUCCAUACACUAGUUCCUUGACAUAUAGUAAGAAGAAAGUGUACCUAUAAAUCUUCACAUGUAUUUCUGUAAAAGUACUUUAGUAGUUAGUGAAUAAGUAAAAUGAAACAUGUAUUUUAGUCGUACAAAAUAUUCAUUUGAGAACACGUGUUGAAUGUCGAGUUUAAUUAAUUUAUAACAUAAUAAGUCUCAAAAUCUAAUUAUAGUAAACCAGUUGUUGGUUUAUUAAUUAUCAUCCAUUAUUUCUCACUUCUUUGUUUUCACAAAACUGGAUCACUGGCUGACUGCUAAAAUCUUUGAACUGUCUUUUCAGCUACCAUGUUAAUGUUACGUAUUCCAUUAUUCCUUGCUUCAUUGCUUAACCAAAGACCUCAUUCACUCCUCUGUCUUGUGUGUGUGUGUUAUCAUCAAUUCCUCACCUAAAUCACAUUGAAAAAGAGAAACCCCAGCCCUUUAAGCUUCUAUUUGGUACAUGUUUUCUCUGGUAGUACUAUAAAACAUGUGAACCAGGUUGAGGUGAAAGAGAGGAAUGGAAGAAGUAGAAGUGAUCAUGAGGAAGUUUGGGGACGAACAGAGCUCUCUGCUCGACCGAUACGAAAGGCUCUCGGUGGAGAUACAACUCAACCAGGCCAUGUUGAAGCGGAGUCUCUCCGAGCCGAUUCAUCAAAGUCGAUCUCAACCAGCAGUUUUGAUUGCUCAAAGCCUUCAAGCACUACCACCGCAGCAGCAGCCGCCAUUGUUUAGUAAGAAGAAGGGUGGCUCUGGCUUUCACAAGGUUUUAAAGAAGAUGAUCAAACCCUUUAUUGGAAGAAUGGAUAGCAGCAAGAAGAAGAAAGCACCAGAUGUGGAAGUCGACCCGAGGUUUUGGAAGACAUUUAGCAGAUCUAUGAGGCUUUGAAGUUUGAACAACUGUUGUGAAUGAAUGAGAGUAUUUACAUAUUUUUGAUUCUUUAGGCUCUUACCAGUUGAUUCCUUUUGAUAUACAUGUGUUCAUUGUAUGCAUAUUUUACUGAUAAAAUACACCUUUCGCUCUUAAUUUCCAUUAGUCAUUCGUAAUUGCUUCAAAUUUGUAUUUGCUAUAUAGAGGUGUGAUAUCACUUUUGAGGUAAAACAGUAGUGAGUUAUUUUCCUCUCAUUCUUGAUGAACUUUUUAUUUAUAUUCUACGAGUUGAGUUUGUAUUCUCACAAGUUAUUUUAUAAUGUUAAUGAGAUUUGAACAUGCAAGUGAUGUGACAUCGAUGUAUCAGUUAUUUCAAACAAUCGAUAGAUCAUAAUUCAUUGACGAAUAUUGAUUUCGAGAACUUAUACGUUAGUGACAAUUUUUUUGACGAGAUUAGUGCUGAAAUGUGAAAAUACUUUUCCAUUUUAGCCAAUAAAGUAAUUUCAUAAUAAUUGGGCUGCUUUGGGCUACCCGUUGGAUUUAUCAAUUUGGGCUGAUUGAUGAAGUAUAAUUACUGACCAGAAAAGAAAAAUUAAGAAAAAGUCAGAGCUGCACAGAUAAUCCAUGGCACUCUCUCUGUCUCUGAUGCCUUCUCCAUAUCCCGUACGCUUCAAACUUGUUCAGACCCCCUUUUCAUACAGAAGCAGAUACAUAAGAACCCAACAAGGUAGACUACUUACUUCUAAAGCACUUUCAUGCUCUGCUACAGAACUUGCUGUUGAUAAACGCCUCACAUCCUCAAAAGAUAUUGGCUUUUACUCCCACAGUGAAGAACCCAAGUUGGGUUUUGAUGAAAUUACUAGUAGGUUGCAUGUACAGAGCUUAGUUGAAAGAAUUAGAGCUUUGCCCACUAGAGAGACAAGUCAAAUUCUUAGUAUUUUUGAGCAAGAUGGUUGCUUUAAAACCAUAUCCGAGUUCAAUGACAUGCUGUUGGCUUUAGCUGUAGCAAAAAUGCCUGAUGUUGCUUUGAGUUUGUAUAGUCAGAUAUCAUCUUACUGUUUAGUUCCUGAUUCUUCUACAUUUUCUGUCGUGAUUACGUGUUACUGUGAGAAAAAUGAUCUGGAUGAGGCCAAGAGGGUUUUAGUCCAUAUGAUUGAAAAUGGGUUUAACCCAAGUGUUGCAACAAUCACUUUUGUUAUAGAUUCAUUAUGCAAAAAGGGUAGAUUGCAGAGAGCUUUGGAGGUUUUUGAGGUGAUGGGUAGAGUUGGGUCCAAGCCCAGUGUUCAAAUGUACAAUUGCUUGUUAAAGGGUUUGUGCUAUGUGGGGAGAGUGGAGGAUGCAUAUGACAUGUUGAUGAAGAUAAAGAAGGGUGUUAUACAACCUGACAUUUAUACAUACACAGCUGUUAUGGAUGGCUUUUGUAAAGUGGGUCGAACAGAUGAGGCGAUGGAACUGCUUAAUGAUGCUGUGGAGUUGGGAUUGAUACUAGAUGUGGUUGCUUUCAACACUUUGUUUGAUGGGUACUGCAGGGAGGGUAGGGCAAUGGAAGGACUUAAUGUGUUGAAGCAGAUGAAGGAGAGAAACUGCAUCCCUGAUUAUAUCACUUAUAGCACAUUGAUACAUGGAUUAUUGAAAUGGGGUAAGACCCGUAAUGCGCUAAGAAUUUAUAAGGAGAUGGUAGAAGUUGGUUUUGAAGUGGAUGAGAGAUUGACAAAUGAUCUUGUGAGAGGGUUAUGCAGGAGAUCAACGAAGGAAAAAGACCUGUUGGAAGAUGCUUGUGAACUGUUUGAAAAAUUGCAGAACGGGGUUUCUGACAUAGACGCCAGUACAUAUGGGCUUAUGAUCCAAAGUCUUUGCAUGGGAAAGAAGAUCGAUGACGCUAUGAUCAAUCUGAAGCAGAUGUUGACAGUGGGUUAUUCACCACGGAUGAUCACCUUUAACAACGUGAUUCAAUCCCUUUGUGCCGAGGAAAAGAUGAUUGAUGCAUUAUUAGUUUUAGGUACUGCAUAUAAAUUUGAUAGAGUAGCAAGUAGAGUAUCUUAUAACCUUCUGAUUCAAAAGUUGAAUCAACAUGGCAGUAUGCUAGAAGCAUGUACUGUAUAUGGUGCAGCAUUGAAGAGAGGUUUAAUCCCGAAUAAAAAGCCUCAACAAUGAGGAAACUCUGUUCAUAAGUUUCCAAUUCUUCAUUUUACAGCAGAGAGGCAGCACCACCCCGAUUGGUCCGAUCUCGAGUUUACAUGCAUAUGUUGAGCCAUACUCGAAUGAGGUUUUUGUAAGUGAAGCCAACAAACAAUUAAGGGGCUAAAGUUCCUAGUCAUCUGGCAGCUUCUAGCUCUGAGGGAAAGCCUGUUCCAGCUCCAAAUAAGAUGUACAAAUGAUGCAAACCAAAGUAAGAAGAAAAACGCUGGAAAAGUUAUAUUACUUGCAGAGGCUGCUACAGGAUCAAUUGUAUUCCAGUGGUGGAAGCAAUGCUCAUGCCGAGUGCGUCGCCACAGACUUGUGAGCAAUUGUUUAUCAUGUGGGAAGAUAGUCUGUGACUAAGAAGGGGAGGGACCUUGCAGUUUUUGUGGCGCUUUGUGUUACGGAAGGUAGCAAUUGUGGUGGUUUUGAUGAGAGUUCCACUAAUGUGGUGUCAGAUGCUGAGGCAGCAGCUGAAUAGAGUACUUAUGAAAUUGAGUUCUUCAUUCAUAUGCAUAGAGUCGUCGAGUAUGAUCGAGACUCUGCAGCCCGAACAACAAUUGUUGAUGACCAAAAUGACUACUUGCGGAACAGAUAUUGAUGACCAACGUGACUACAUUGAAACUAAGGGGAACAGCUGGUAAUCAAAGGAGGAAAAUGAAAUUCAAAAAGAGAAGCCGGGAGCAAUUGAAGAAGCUGAGCAGAUGAAAUGAAAUAGUAUACUUAUGAAUGAAGAUGAACUUUCUGAACUGGAAUCAGAAUGUUUAACGUUGAAGCCACUGGAUUAAAGGGAACUAGGGAAGUGAACCGUACGUUGAGUCGGAUUAAACCAAAUGUAAUAUGUACUUACGUAGCUGCAUUUAGAACUAGACAUACAUUUUCCAGUCAUGAUAUAAAUGUGAAUACUGAGGGUAGCUUAUAUAGUUACUGUGCAAAUCUUUCUUUUUCUUUCAUGUGAGGAUAGUACAUUUACUUAAAAACUGAAUGGUUAAAAUGAGAAAAUAUGAUCGAAAAAUAUGUCUAAUAAAGAAAUUUGCACCAUAAUUAAGUUAAGGUCUUUACCCGAAAAUGAUUAUAUAUAUAUACUAUUUUCUGAUUUAUUUGAACGAAAUAUAUAGUAUACAGACAUGUAUGGCAUCCACACAAUCACACAUAUAUGACAUACACAUACAUGAUUUAAUGCCAUAAUGUUGUGUGCAAUACUAAAGCAGAAGUUAAAAAUACGAAUUGUGAUUGUAUAUGAUCAUAUAAUCUGUGCAUUGUUACAUGCAAUGUAAUAUGCGUGUUGUGUCCCAGAGGUAGCAUAGCCUGUUUAUUUCUUCUGAAUUUUAAUACUUAUGGUACUUGGAAGUUUGAACUCCCAACACACCGAUCAUUUUGCGGAAUUCCAACCCAUCGUAGUGGUUCUAAGAUGUUAGAGAGAAUUAAAAGAGAGGGUUACCGAUCAAAGGUUCACAAACGGCAUGGUUGACACGUCUGGAGUCUUGAAGAAGCACACCAUUUUUCUUCUGAGAAGGUUCAAGAAGGGCAGCCGUAAUAACCGUUUGCUUGAAGUAUGAUGAUCGUCCGGUUUUUCGUCAUCAGAGAAUAAAAAACCAAUAAAAAGAACUUCAUUUUCAGUAUUUCCGACGCCACAAGCAGUGGCGUAGCCACAAUAGGGCCAAAGGGGUCAAUUGACCCUUCUUAAUUUUUUACCAUGUUUCUCAUUGGUUGAAUUUUUUACAUCUUAUUAUACAUAUUAUCAUAACACUACAUAUUUGACCCCUAUGACACAAAGACAAAGAUAAAAAUAUAAGCCAAUCUAUAUUCAUUUUCUUAAAACACUGGACUCAAAAAUAAUAGAUAUGUCUUCUGCCAAACACUUACAAAUCUACCUAAAAGGCUAAACCCUAUCAUGUAUUUAUUUUCUUUNNNNNNNNNNNNNNNNNNNNAGUGUACUUGUCUAGUCUUGUCUUCUUAUAUAUAUAUAUAUAUACAUAUAUAUAUAUAUAUAUAUAUAAAAUGUUCCAUCGAUGACCUGCAAUCAGAAAAAUUAAAAUCACAAUUUACUGCCCGCAGCGACAAGAGUUCAUGUGAGACCGAAGACUCAUGAGAACUUUCACCCUUUGUAACCCGUGUUUGCUUUGCUCUAUAUGUAGUGACUCGUGGAUGCAGAAGAGAGGAUUUGUUUCAUGAACUCUCCUUAGAUGUUACAUAGAUUAUGGGAAGUCUGUUCAAUUUUUGGGGACUCAUGAGAAAUGUUUAUGAAUCUUUCUUCAGUUUUCUUUUGACACCGGUUGGUGAUCCGUACAAAUUUUCCUCGGAUAUUUUUACAUCCCACAUUGCAGAAGUAACUAUUUAUUUUACGUUUACAAGCUCCGAGGAUGAUGACUUGAGAAUAUAACACCACUGGGCGAAGCGAUUGGGCAAUGAUAAGGAAUUAUGCCCAGGAAAGUCCCCGGGCCACUAUCUGCACAGAUGCAGACCAGCUUUUACUGGUAACCUCUGUUGAGUUGAAGUUCUAUCGUUCAGUGCGAUGGGGGCUGAAACAUGUGUGGAGCCUAUUGAAAAUGAAAAUCUAUGAUGCUACGGUCAAUUACUCAAUUUGCAGUAGAUGGCUUUAAGUUCAUAAUUCUUGCUUCACUAAGGUGCCUCAAAUAAGAGCCACUUUUGUAGUUUUAAGUUCAUAAUUCUUGCUUCACUAAGGUACCUCAAAUAAGAGCCACUUACAGAAGGGAGUUUAUAGGUUUACAGACCAUUUACUAACAUAUGUAGCAUAUCUAGCAUGAAAUGAAUGUCUCUCUACAUGGUAUACAAAACUUUUCGCCUGAUGAUUGUAAACGUCUAUGCACGAUUCAUGUACUGCCCGGUUCUGGUAUCCACCAAAAUUUCAUCACCUACAUUUACAAACAAUGGGACAAAGACAACAGCACCAGUGUCAAGGGUAGCUGGCUUUGUUCCACCACCUGCGAUUCCAUUUCAGUUAGAGGAAAUAGUGAUAGAAAUUAUAGAAUAUGAAGAAGUAAAAUCUCACACCAAAUUGUAUGUUAUACUCUUUGGAUAAUCCCUCUACCCCAUUGCCAUCCGGAUACCAUCUUUCAACACAUGUAUGGUAAAUGUACGGAAGGGUGUAAUGAGAAUUCUAAUUGUUACAAGUUACAACAGUAGGCGUAGUUACUAGCAGGAUGAUGACUUCUAAACCCCAAGAAUUCAGUUACACACACUCUGUAUCUGAAGCUAUCUAAUUUUGUUAUACCAGUAACCUACCACUGUCCAUGUCCCAGAAAGCUCAUGGAUUGAAGGGCAUUUAGUCGUACUAAUAGUAAAACGUUCUUUAAAAGUUUGUGAAAGGUUGCAAAAUAUUACCUUGAGCUGUGUCACCUUUCAGUCCAGGAUCAACAUCGACCACAGUAAGCUUCGCUGUGAUGGGGAUUUCAACAUCGAAAAGCUGCAAUUGUAUCACAGAAAAAAGAGCACUGUUCAAACUUCAGAGUAAAAUUUCUUUUCAUUUCAAAAAGAAAAAACCUCAGUGUACGAUUAUGAUACUAAGCACCAGUGCACCACCAGCCCCAUGUAUUGUUAUCAAUGCCUGAUGCCACUAAUACUAUCAAUCAUCUCACCAUGAAUCUCAGUUGCACUAACAUAUACAGGUACUGAUUACAACACAUGCGGUAGUUGUAGAGCCAGAGAGAUCUAUCUAGGAUAAUGCAAUAGUCCUCGAAUAAAAGUACCAUUCUGGAAGCAGUUAAGAUAUUGUGCCAUUAACUAUUGCAGCAAAAUGUGGAAACUUAAUUGCUUGACAAAUACGAAAGCAUAAAAUAGAAUAAGAGCAGUACUCUAUCAUUCCACAGGAGCAAAUUGCAGUCCAUUCCCUCUUUCAGCCAUUUUGUUUUUUCCGCCCCAAUUUGAGAUUCAUUCACACGAGUUUCUUCAAAUGUGGUCUGAAAUAGGUAGAAAGAUACUCGAGAUAGAAAAAAAAAAGUUACUUCAUUUAGCUUCCUUGAGAAGAUGAAAUUUAAAAGUCCAUAUGAAAGAAACCCAGUAUAAAUUUACAAUUAAAAGAAUACCAGGUCCAUGAAAACAUAUUGGGGACCAUCUUUGUAUGUGAAUUGCUUGGUUUCCUUGUAGAUAGCUGCCUCACUCAUCUGGGAAACAAUCAAAAUAUCAAACAUAAGAGGGUAUGCAUGUGAUGUGACUACUUACAGCUAAAUUGACCACUUUUAUGCACAAUGUGCUCCAUGUUUUAGUGGGGGGAAAUAAUCCAUAAAGAAGUAUUUUGAUGACAUGGAUGAGAUUCUAAGCCAUUGUACUUGAUAUAUGACUAAUAUCUAUCGACGGAACUCGGAAGUGGAAGUUUGCAUACGGAAUGUAUAUAGAUAACACAACUGGCCAAACCUCAAGUUGGGGAAUUGAUAUGGGGAUUAUGCAACACAAGGCUAACCACAAUAUGAUUUGAAACCUCAGUCUUGUAAGAUAUUUGUCUGAUUGGAUUCUGGGUGAAACCUUAUCAUACUAUUUCUUUUCUUAACAACAAAGUCAAACCAAUUAUAACUUGAAUGUUAAACAAUGUCAUGUUUCGCUGUCAACUAAAUUGAAGCAUGCCACAUUCCAGCACAUAGUACUUGCAUUUCAAGCAUCUUAUGAAACAGAUUUUAGUAACAGGUUUGUGGACAUUACCGUACUUCCUGCCCGAAAUGUCUUCUCAACAGUGUUUCCUGUUAGAUAAUUUCGCAUUUUGGUCCUUACAAAUGCAGCCCCUUUCCCAGGUUUCACAUGAAGAAACUCUACAGAAGGCAAUUGCCGAAAGUGCAAAAGCUUAUAAGCUCAGAAAUACAGGAAAAAUGAAAAAGGAGUACAUUGUAACACCGACAUUCAACUCAAACAUCCCUAGCAACUACUCACAAACCAAAAGGAAAGGUACAUAUUAUCAUAUACCAUCACAAUGCCAUAAAGAAUCGAAAUCUCCAAUGUGAGGCUCGUAAACCAACUACAUGUACAGACCACCUCAACAAUAUCUGUUGUAUAAUUUACCAGCAGUGAAACACAAAUGCCAUAUGAGUCAAAACAAAAAAUGAGUAAAACAGUAUCCUAGCUCCACCAAAAUUAAGCUCUAUUUUCUAAAAGCAUUACAUACCCAACAAGCAGAAAGCCAGUACCUUUCUGAUUAAGCUCAAAAACCCAGAAAAAGAAGAAGAAGAAGAAGACUAAAGUGGUACCUAUAACUCGCCAAGGAGCUCCGUCAACUUCAAUGUUGGAACCCACCUUAAUAUCGUUGCUAGAAAACGCCAUUAUCCCUGAAAUUUUCAUCACCAUAAACACCCAAAGACUUCAUCUUUCUGAAAAUAUAGAGCAAAACAAAAUCAAAACUACGUGACAGUGAAAGAAGCUCACUUGGAAAUCUGUGACUCAAAGGGGCUCGGUUCAGACUCCGCAUUGGCAAAAUGAACGACUUGGAUGAGAACGAGAGAGAGGAUAGCGGUGAUGGACGGCUGAGGAUUGGGGAAGCUGACGAGAUACUGAAGCUCGCUGCCAUUCCCGCCAUGGCUGUGUGAUUUUCGCAGUUUUUCCCGGAAAAUUUAGAGGGACAUAGCUCCAGUAAGCUUAGAUAAGAGACUGGUUUCGAAGUGUUUAGAUUUGGGCCCUGCUUUGGGGUUUGGGCUGCCUUCACAAUGACGAUAGGCCCAAUGAUAUCCAUUUAGCUGACUUGAGGAUGCUAUUAAUCAAAAAUGGAUCCAGGAUAUGAAAAUUAGAUUAGGCUGAAUUUAGUUUACGACUAAAAUUGUGUGAAAACAUGUUAAGCUGCAGGUAUGACUGACAUUAUAACGAUUCUUCUGGUAAUACUAAUAGGAGGUACUUGGUCUGAAACCAAGUCUCAUAUCCAGGAUUGGUAGUUCACUAAGCCAUCAUUUCUUGUAACAAAAAAAAUAUCAGCAAAAGUAAGUUUUUUUUUUCUUUUCUUUUAAUCAAUACUAUGUUGACUAGGGUUGGGCACUUAGUACCGGAAUCCCGAUCCCGUACCGGUCUCGUCCCGAAAGUUAACGGGACGGGACGGGACGGGAUAGGUUUUGAAAAUGGCAAUCUCGUCCCGUCCCGUCCCGUUAUGGUAAUGUUGAAACUGGACGGGACGGGAUCGGGACUAUUCCGAAAAAUCCCGUCCCGUCCUGUAAUAUUAGAAUACUUGAUUUUAAUCAUUUUAUACUUGAUUUUUUAGGUUGCAUGGUGUUACAAUGCACUCAACCACACUCAAUUUGGUUUAAAACAUUACUUUUAAUUUCAUUCAUGUUCUUUUUUUUUUUGCUUGUGUGAUUUUGGAUAUUUUUAGUUGUUGUUUGAGGGUCAAUUUUUAAUAUGGGGUGUUUAAUACUUUUAAAGUGAGAUGUAAUUUAGCACCUAUGCACCUAUAUUCUUGUUGAUUUUAAUAUUUUUAAUUCAUUAAUGUUCUUUUUGGCUUGUGUGAUUUUGGGUAUUUUUUUUCUAUUAAUUUCGUUAAUGUUGUUUGAGGGAGCUGAAGACGUCCAAGGAAGGACUGUUCUCACAAACUUCUGGGGAAUGAACUUCACCACCGAUAAGUUGAGAUCAUUGGUCCGCAAAUGGCAAACCUUGAUCGAAGCUCAUGUGGAUGUGAAAACCACAGACAACUACACACUGAGGAUGUUCUGCAUUGGAUUCACAAGAGACGUCCUAACCAAGUCAAGAGGACUUGCUAUGCUCAAUCCAGCCAGAUUAGACAGAUCCUUCGCAAGAUGACUGAAAUCAUGGUCUCCCAGGCCUCAUCUUGUGAUCUCAAGGAUUUGGUGCGCAAGUUCAUUGCUGAGAGCAUUGGUAAGGAGAUUGAGAAGCAAACUACAAGUAUCUAUCCUCUACAAAAUGUCUUCAUCAAGAAGGUCAAGAUCUUAAAGGCCCCCAAGUUUGAUCUUGGAAAGCUUAUGGAGGUGCAUGGUGAUGAAGAUGUUGGCACCAAGGUUGACAGGCCUGCUGAAUAAGCAGUCCCUGAGGCACCUGUCUAGAUUGUUGGAGCUUAGAAAUUUGCAGUGUCUAGAGUUAUUAUGUUUUGUGAACUUGAAUACCAGUUACUUGUUGCUUCAUGUUCUAGCUUUGCGAACAAGAACGUCGUUUUGACUUAAAUUUUGUGCUUUUAUUCUAAAUACUUGAACUUUAUUAAAAAAAAAAUAAAAAUUGUCGGGAUCGGGACGUACGGGACAGAUAUUUAAAAACGUCUUCCCGUCCCGUCCCGUUUUUUUAUUUUCGGGACGGAACGGGAUUCACCAAAUCCCGGCCCGUCCCGUCCCGUGCCCAGCCCUAAUGUUGACAAGCGUACAUUUUCAGAGUGCAUCCAUUUUUAUACUCCGUUCUUACAACAGACCAUGCAAUUUUUUGUGAUUUCAUUAAGUAUAAAACCUUAAAUUUGAAUCCAAUAAUAAGUGACUUGUUCAAGGUUGUGAAGUUGAUGAAUUAAUUUUUAUGACGAGAUGUGUUAUUGUAUAUUAAAAAUUUGAAAGUUAUAUUCUCACUCAUCCUUAUCCUUGUAUCUACAUCCUAGAACAUGUCAUACUUUGGAACAUGGCCAAAAAAAAUAUGUCCUUGGCAAAAGUUUGUCAAUGUUGGGAUUUAGGGAUUUAUCAUAGUUUAAAAGUAUUAGGAAAUGCCAUCAUAGAUACAUGUGUGACACGUUCAUAACUUGUGGUGAUAAGGCAUUAUGCCUACACUAAUUGUCAUCACUCUCUAGCAAUUUUUUAAAAAGAAGUACCAUCUCAGCAUAAGAUAAUCACCAAUCCAUUUAACAAUAAUUCACUAAGUGUCGUUAUGGUUGUUGUUGUUAACAAGUCUCUUUCUCUAAUUCUCAAAAAAAUGACCCAAUAAACGUGUCAAUAAUUCACAGUCCCAAAUAAUUACAUUCACCCUUAAUCCUAAUCCAAAACCCAAACCCACACCGUCCAACUGCAGCACGUGCGCCAUCGACGUGACAGCGCUGUCACCUGUGCCGCGUGCGUUGGCGUCUCUCUUUCAUUCCCCCCGGUAGGUACCACAUUCCCCGGUCAUCUACCGUCAUCACCACCCUAAUUUGACGUCAUAAAUACAACCCGAGUCAACGGCCCAGAUUCCUUCUCAUCAAACUUCACCGUCCUAGACGGUGCAGAAUCCUAGUGGUAAAGUCGUAGUUAAAUGCUCAACCAUGGGCCUUUUGUACACAGUCAUUAUAACAAUUCUUUAUUGCAUGCGAACUGCCCGAUUGGACGUACGAAACGCCUAGUGGCGCAUUUCGCGGUGGUGCUCUUCUGCCGCCGUUAUAAUUCAUCGUAUUUAUUAUUUAUUAUAAUAAUUUCGAUUUUUAAAUAAUUAAAAUUUUCUUUUUUUAUCAGAAGAAUAAGAUAGCAAGUCACGUUUGUUUACAUUAACGUAUUAGUAAUGCGCUAGUCAAUAUUCAUUGAGACUGAACUCAUAUCAAGAUUUUAACAAAACUAGACAAUCAUUCACUUAAAACGCAUGACCUUGAAAACUCAUCUAAUAUGUCCAUCAAAGAUCAUUACUAAUCAAUAUUUAUUAAGAUUGAACUCAUAUCAAGAUUUUAACAAAAUUAGACAAUCAUUCACGCAAAACACAUAAACUUGAAAACUCAUCUAAUAUGUCCAUCAGAGACUAAUACGAGUCAAGACUCGAACGUUAAAACAUGUACGAUUCAUGCUACGUUGCUCGACCAAUUAUUAAUAAUCUUGAUUUUAAUUUGGAUUUUUUAAGAAAGAAAAUAAUUUGGGGGAUAAUAAGGAAGGAAAGGAAAAGAGAGAGGUGGGCGAGUUGGCCGAGUCUUGAAGCAUAAUCAUCAUCGUGCAUGCAUUUUGUGCCCAUAUUUUCUUUCAAUUUUCAACUUUGCAUGCACACGUCUUCUUCUUCUCCCAAAACGCCAAAUCGCCGAUCCAACUCUCCCUUCCCCUUCCGUUUCCCUCCUCCGUUCACCCCCUAAAUCGCCGCCGAUCCAACUCCAAAUCGCUCCCUCACGAUAUAAAUCACACCCACACCACAGCCGCCGCCGCCGCCGCCGUGUCACUCCUCUCUCAGCAAAUGAACUAGCUCCAGCUCUGCUCCGGUGCAAAGCUUCCACCUCCAGUUCGGUUCUCUUUUCUGCUUUGCUGUUUUUGCUGUUCAAUUUUGUGUUUAAAUCAUCAGAUAUGUGGAAUUUGGAAUUUGAAAUUUGGAUUAGGGAAUUUCUGUGUGUUAUGAUUUCGAUUGGAUUUUAAAAUUCGUGAAAAUUUGCAGGGAGAUGGAUCCGAGUGCUUGUAUGAACGCCUACUGCGGCAGCUCGAGCUCGAUCGAAUGGAAGAAAGGCUGGGCUUUGCGAUCUGGUAGAUUCGCCAAUCUAUGUCACAAGUGCGGGUAAUUCAGUCUAGUUUAUUCUCUUCUUGUUUUUUUUAGGUAAAUAUUUACUGUCUGAUUGUUUUGUAAUGUGUAGCUUUAUGCUGGUUUGGCAUGAUUAUACCGAAUUGUAUGCCGACGGUUUGGAUAAGUUUUUUGUUUUUACUUUGCAUUUGGUAAAAUUCAGGGGCUUGUUGGAGGUUUUAAGUCCAUGGUCUGUUGACUCUCUUCUGUUUCAACGUUGUGCUCUGUUCUUAACGGCCGCAUGGUAUUUGUGGCCGGUAUUGUGGAAUUUUAGUUUUUUUCUUAUUUUCCCCCAAUUCUAUAUUUGUUUUAUCUUCUUACAUCUAUGUCCGGACUAAUUGUGUUAGACAAAUAAUAACUAGAAUAUGUCAAUCUAAAAUUCAACCCAAUGGAAUAGUAACCAUGGAUGAUUGAAAUCUAUACUGAUGUUGGUGGUUUUGAGAAAACAAUUGCUCGUUUAAAAAUGUGUGUCUUUGUGUUUAGAGCGUUGUUAUGAUCUUCUGGUAUUGAAAGAAACUCUUUUAAUUAGAACAUGAAACAUUUUUGACUUAUAGUGUGAUCUGAAAUUGAUAUCGGCACUAGGUCGGCAUACGAGCAAUCUGUUUUUUGUGAUGUUUUCCAUUCAAAAGAAUCCGGUUGGAGGGAGUGUGCUCAAUGUGGAAAGGUGAUCAAUGACUCAACAUCCAUAAAAUUUGCUUUUUGGUUUCUUUUUCUAUCCUCCGUAUUUUGAUAUUAUUUUUUCUGAUUGCUGACACCUAUUCGUUCUCUGCAGCGUCUUCAUUGUGGGUGCAUUGCUUCUAGGAGUCUGCUUGAUUUCCUUGAUGGUGGUGGUGUCAAGUGUACACACUGCACGAAAAAUUCGGAACCUCACCCUGUAAGAUUUAUUCGAUAUCAUAUCAACCUUAGAAUGGAAAAUUUUCAUAUGUCAUAUUUGGAAGAGUGUACAUUAUCGAGGAUUUGGAAAAUAUAAUUAAAGCCUGUGAUGUUUUAUAUCAUGGCCUUAUGGUUCGUUAGUUCCCGCAUAUAAGAACUAUAAUGGGAUAAUGCUUCACUGUCUUAAGUGUACCCUUAAGUUAUGUAAUGAUGAGUUUGAUACAUAUUCACACAGAUUGCAAGUGAUGAAAAGCCUGAUGGACCCGGCACAUCCAAAAUCAGUGAGCUGAAAUCAACUCCUUCAGACAAUCACUUGGAUAGAAGCAAUGUUGAUAAUGUGAAGCUUAUCCAGUUGGAAAAUGAUAAAGAGUGUAAUGGGCUCAGGAACUUGCUUCAAUCUCAGAACAAUGAAACAGUUGGGUUAUUGCAGAAAAUGAAGCAGGAUGAUGUUCCAGCACCUGUGGUUGAGAUUGGAGGCACAGGUCUGUCAAUAUUUAAUCAGACAUCCAAUGUAUCGUCUGAAGGUUGUAAACCAGUAAUUUAUAGAGGAAACUUAGGAAUAAAUGAUAUGUAUGAAUCACUGCCGCACACAAAUUUGAGUAUGAGCCUGGGUGCACCUUCAGGAUAUGCAAAUCCUUUUCCUGGUAUCGUUGUUGACGAACACACUAGGACAUCCUCCCUGUUCUUACAGGGAGCUAGGUCUCGUCAUCUUUUACCCAAGCCCCCAAAGUUGGCCCUUGCCACAGGUUUGGAGGAAAAUUCUACAAUGGCUUCACAGUCACGUGUUGCACGGCCACCUGCUGAAGGACGGGGGAGGAAUCAGUUACUUCCCCGAUACUGGCCCAGGAUCACGGACCAAGAGUUACAGCAAAUAUCUGGAGAGUAUCCUUGAUAAUUUAUUUCUUGUUUUAUGUAUAUUACAUCCUGACUGAACCAUAUAAAUGUCGUAACAAUUUUGCUUUUUCAUAUAUAUCUGCCAACUCGGGCAGUGAUUUCCUUAACUGUGAUAUCUUCAAGUCCAAAUUCCACAAUUGUACCGUUGUUUGAAAAGAUGCUGAGUGCCAGUGAUGCUGGUCGUAUUGGUCGUUUGGUGCUCCCUAAAGCAUGUGCUGAAGUAAGCCUUCUGGUUGAUAGAUUCUGAACCUUUUACUGAUAUGUGUAGCCUUUGUCCAUAUGUUAUCUGUAUCCAUUACUAUAUUCAUCAGCCAAAUUGAAACCACUAUGUAGGCGUAUUUUCCUCCUAUCUCUCAACCCGAGGGCCUUCCUUUGAGGAUUCAAGAUGUUAAGGGAAAGGAAUGGGUGUUUCAGUUCAGAUUCUGGCCUAACAAUAACAGUAGGAUGUACGUGUUAGAGGGUGUAACCCCUUGCAUACAGUCGAUGCAGUUGCAAGCUGGAGAUACUGGUAAUUUGUUUGACUGCAUUUACCAAGUUAGUUAGUAUACACACACACAUACAUGGUAUUGGUAUAUAAUGUGAAUUGUUAUUUAUAUUUUUUGUGAUUCUUUUGUUGCAGUGACAUUCAGUCGUAUGGACCCUGAAGGAAAGCUUAUUAUGGGGUUUCGAAAGGCAUCUAAUUCAGCUUCAAUGCAGGUGAUAACCUCUAUUUACUUUUAAAAUAGGAAAAUGGACAGUUUAAUAUUGAUAUGCAAAUUAUCAAAAUAAACAGGACACCCAUCUUUCUGCCAUUCACAAUGGCGCUCACUCAAGUCAAACUUUCUUUUCGGGUGUUAUUGAGAACCUUCCUGUAAUAAGUGGUUACUCUGGUCUUCUUCAGUCAACGAAGGGCAUGGAUCCGCAUCUAAGUGCACUGUCCAAGCAAUUGACUACAGCUCAUGGUGAUCUGAGCUGGCAUAAAUCUGAAAAUCCUGAAAGCAGGGCAAGGGAAGGCUUGCUGCUGCAAUCAUUAGUGGUUCCGGAGAGAAAAAGAACUAGGAAUAUUGGGUCUAAGAGUAAAAGGUUGCUCAUUGAUAGCCAAGAUGUUCUAGAGGUGAAGCUUACUUGGGAAGAGGCUCAGGAUUUACUUCGUCCUCCUCCAGCUGUUAACCCAAGCACUGUCAUGAUCGAGGAUCUUGAAUUCGAAGAAUAUGAAGUGAGUGAUGUCUGAGUUCUAUGAACAUAUUUGCAAUAUUUUCUUAUUAUUUCCCAUUUUAAAAAUUGUCUCCACUUUUUUAUCCUUAGUUAUUUUCUUCAAGUUAAUUUACGUAUUAUUUGCUCAACUAUGAUUUGUGUGACUUAGACGUAGUUGUCAUGGCUCCCAUAUGUUACAUGUCCAGAAAAGGGUUUCAUAGAUCUCCAGUCAUGGAACAUGGGAUAUGUGCUGUCAAUCUGAAUUUAUGGUUUGCAAAUUUGUCUAAAACUCCCUUCACUUUGUGUUAAUCUGUUAGACAGUGGCUUCUAUUCUUGUCCAUGCAGACGAGCAUAAACGCAUGAAGUUUUUGAUUCUUUCGCCAGCAGCAACAAUUUAUUAUUUUAUUUUAUUUUUUUAAAUAUGGAUAUUGUUGGGUUGCUUAUAUGUGCAGUUAUUUCUAUUAUGUAGGAACCUCCUGUGUUUGGCAAAAGGAGUAUUUUCAUAGUCCGGUCAACUGGGUAAGACUUCUUUUAUGUUAUCUAAGCUAAGGUCUCAUUACUUGAGGAAUGUCACUGGGUAUCUGUUAUACACUAGUUUUCAGCAUUCUGAAUGGUUUUUAGUUUAGCUAAAGAACAUGGUGUAGAAGUGUAUAAAGAACAAACUUCUCCUUUUGUCACUGCGCAAUUUGUCUUCCAUAUUCAAUUAAAUGCUUCCGCUAUUUUUGGUUGAAAGGUUUUAUUUCAUUGUUGCUAGGGUGAGUUGGAUAAUUCAUUUAGAUACAAAAUAAUAAGCUUUGUUUCAGGGAACAUGAGCAAUGGGCUCAGUGUGAUGGUUGCUCUAAAUGGCGAAGGUUGCCAGUUGAUGUGCUACUUCCAUCUAAGUGGAUGUGUACAGACAAUGUUUGGGAUCAAAACAGGUUAGUGAUGGGUUUUCAUUUACAAUUUUUCUUGCAGUAAAGCAGUGCUUAAAUAAGUCUUCUUUAUGUCUCAAACUUUGUUUUUUAUUAAAUAUCUCAAACUCUUUUUUUCUCAACAGGUGUUCGUGCUCUGCACCAGAUGAAUUAACCCCUAAGGAACUGGAAAGUUUUCUCAGACUGAGCAAGGGUAUAAGGCCACUUUAUGUCUCUCCAUUAUCUUUAAGUAGAAACUUAUGGGAGAUUGGGUGUAGUAGCUUAUCUAUUAUGGUCAUGAAGAAUUGCAUUCUUAAGUGGAAAAUUAGUGUUAAAUUUACUUUGGGAACUGUUUGUUAUUUAUAUUGGGAUGUCUUCUUUUGUAGAAUUCAAGAAAAGGAGAAUGGCAACAAACCAUAAUCCAACCCAGGAACAUGAAUCUUCUGGGCUUGAUGCUUUGGCCAAUGCUGCAAUACUCGGAGACAAUGUGGCUGACCCAGGAACUGCAUCAGUUGCUACAACAACAAAACAUCCCAGGCAUCGUCCUGGCUGCUCAUGCAUUGUGUGCAUCCAGCCCCCAAGUGGGAAGGGCAAGCAUAAGCCUUCAUGCACGUGCAAUGUGUGCAUGACAGUUAAACGACGUUUUAAAACCCUAAUGAUAAACAAGAAGAAACGUCAAUCAGAACGUGAAGCAGAGAUUGCCGGUAGAAACCAGCUUGCAUGGGGUCCUAGGGAUGAUGCAGAAGUAGACAGCACUUCUAGGCAUCUAUCAUCACACCUUGAUCCUUCAGACAACGAAGCUAAGUCUCCAAAUGAAUUAGAAUCUAAGAGCCAACUUAAAAUGGCCGAAAGUGGGAAGGGAAAGUUAGACUUGAAUUGCCAUCCUGGCCGAGAAGUAGACUUGCCAGCGGAGCCAAGUCAGUUGAGCAUGAUGUCCCUUCUUCAAGUAGCAACGCUUCCUCUAGAUAGUUAUUUGAAACAAACCGGUCUUACCAGCUUGGUAACUGAACAGCAGACAAGCUCAUCACCUCCUGUGCCACCACAAGCGACCGAGGAGAAUGAGGAACAGCUUAAUGGGGAUCAAUGUCUUGUUUCUAUUGUUCAAGAUCAGGAAAGUGGAGGUGAAGAAAGGCAGGAUCAAAGCCAAGAGGAUCCUCUAUGAUAAAGUUCACGCUACCCUUCCUUAUUUGCUUCUUCCUUGUAUAAUACUGGACUACAGAGGUCAUUUUGGUUUGGUUGGUCUUAUAUGUUUCUUUGGCUGAGAGUGUGAAUGUGAGAUUACAUUACAAAAUAGGUUGUAUGAUAUACACUCAAUUGUAUUUAUAAAUACAACAAAGUAAGAUAUAACUUUCAAUUUUUUUCGUUCUUUUCUGCCUAAACUAUAUAUACUUGUAAUACUUGCCGUAUUCCAAUACAACUUAACGUAGCAGAGCUAGAAAUCCAGAUUUUGGGGCCAAAAUGUAAGACAUUCUAUGUGGCGCCAAUAAGUUAAUUAAAGAAGCUUAAGAAACAAAGAGCUCGAGCCCUCCUCUCUUAGUUUGGUGAUUUAAAAACUCAAUUUUUAAAAAACUCAGUUUUAAAUAAGCAAUUCACAACCAGUUUUUUAAAAUCGUAGUUAUUUAAAUUAAAAAGUUUUAGAUAAACAAGUUUUAAGAUUUUACUAAACAAAUAAUCUAUUCAAAAUGAUGAUUAUAAAUAAUUUUAAUUCUCAAAACUUAAUACAAAACUGGGCCUGAGCCUGAGCCCUACUUCAUCAAUCUGAUACUACCUUGAUCCAUUCCAGUCUCGUUAGUUUAAGCUUUCAAGCAAGUAUGGUUGAUUGAAUCAAAUUCGAUUUUUCAACAAUUUUGAUCUUUUUCUUAGAAUCUAUAACAGUUUCGAUCUGUAUGGCAGAUAUCCAAUCAACAAUGGAGAUUAAGGAGAGCACAAACUUGAUGGACUUACCCGUCGAUAUCCUCAUCAACAUCUUCAUGAGACUUCUCGCUAUGUCAGAGUGUUCCAUCAGAUGUGUCUCCAAGACUGUGUUGGACAUAAUCGAUGGCCCAGCUUACCGGCGUUUACUUGGUGAUGCCAAGAUUGAAUCUGAAGCACCUCCUCAACUUGUGCUUUUUGCUCAAGACUAUAUUGAGCAAGGACGCAAAGCCUUACCUGCCAUGGAAACCCUAGAAUACGACGACGGCAAUAACCACUUGACCACCAGAGGCAAACAUGAGGGACGAACCUGGUACUCAUCAUACUCCCGCCAGCGCUGCGAGUACCAGAUCAAUUUCGUUUUUGGCAACUUGGUUUGCUUGAAACACUUGAGUGAUUAUCGGCGUUGCUUCUUAGUCAAUCCUCUAACCACAGAAAGUCUAAUGCUCCCAACCCUUGGCCUCCAAGAAAUCAUAGAGCAAGGUAGGGCUUCACGAGUAGUGUAUGAAAAAUAUGGUAUGGGAUUUGAUGAUAUAACCAACAGCUACAAGAUUGUUUGUGUUUCUCGACACAAGCAAGAGAGCCUAUUCGGCGCACCCGUCAUCUCCACCGUUAAUUUUUUUUUUUUGGCGGGUUAAAAUGGACGGUGGAUACACCCGGAUGCGCUGUAUAAUUUUCACACAAGCAUAGUGUUGAUGAUCCUUUUAUUAAUUUAGAGGGUUCGUUCGUGACUCGAGUUCUUGUGUUGGGCACAAGAACAUGGAGAGAGGUACCCUCAGUUCCUCCCUACAAUUGUGAUCUCGAUGACGCAGUACAAAAUGUGUGUGCAUAUGGAGAUAUGCAUUGGUUGCUUAGUCAUCUUAUUACAGUAGGAAGGCAAAUAACGAGACCUAUACUUUCUUUCAACUUCAAGAAAGAAGAGUUCUGUAUAACUCAACAUCCCAUCUCACAAGAGAGGAGAUCGUCCUUGGACUUGCACUUGCUUACUCUGAGAGGAUCUAUCGCCAUUGCAGAUACUUGUUCAUCGAACGGUACGAAUAUCAACAUUCAGAUAUGGGUGAUGAAAGAUUAUGAUAGAAAAGAGUGGAGGCUAGAUUACACCAUAAAUAUGGAAAUGCUUGAAGGUCCACGGUUUGAAACUUGGUAUUAUACCUGCGGUGAAUGGGAACAUGGCAUAUUUUUCAGUAGUAAUUCUCGACUGGUCAAGAAGGCAUUGUUCUUUGUGGAUCUGAGAUCGCCAGUUUCCAUAAAACCAGUGGCAUAUCCCACAUUAAUCUGGAUUUGGGAGAAUACAAGGAUCUUCAGCCUGGGAUAACUCUUAACAUCCUUUCAUUGAAUUACUAGCCUUUCUGCACGCGCAAUGCGAAAAGACCGCGCUGCAACAUAGUUUCAAUACCUAUACUUCACCAGCUCUAAUAUCUGACUGAAAUUGCUUUGUUGGCGUCUUUUGUUUUCUCUUCUCAAUAAUUUUUGGCUCAUUAUUUAUGUCUCACAAUGGAGGCUAUAACCAAGCCUUCAUUUAUACAUACAACCUGCUACAAAACAUGCUACUAAAGAUGCAUGAGAAAUGGUUGAAUGUGAAAAAAUAAAUCAAAGAGGAGAAAAAUGAACCAAAUUGAUGUGAGCAGGAAUAAAAAUUGCAGACACUACAACAGCGCUUUAUGCAAGUCUGUUUUAUAUCUUCUUCUUUGUCCCCUCCCCAAUUAGCAGUCUCCUUGUCCAAUGCCUCUGGGAUCUUUUUUCUAACAUUCAAUUAAUGAAGCAUCAUAACAUGGAAUCUGAUAGACAUGAUUUCUCUUAUUAAUAAAUACUGUUAGUAACACAAUGAAAUCCAAACUAUGAAAGGUAAGCAAAUGGGACAGUAGUAUCCAAACGUAUAUAUUUGGAUAAGAGAAAAAGAAAUGUUGAUAAGGGUUUACCUAUUGUUACCUGAACUGAAAACCUCAAAUGUGUGAUGAUACAAACAACCCUACUAAUGGUGGAGAUUACCUAUACUUUUGAUCUCCAUUUAAGAUUAUGUAUACACUCCAUUUUACCUGCAUUGAUAGCAUCAUAGGAGAGAUGUUGAAAACUGAAAAUGGCUGCAACAAUCCAUCAAAAACAGCGAGAACUGGCAAAGGAGAGAUCUAUUCCGUGGGAACUGGCAAAUAACUAAAACCUUUAUACCUGAAGAAUGCAAACAGAAAAAUUACAAAUCUUCCAGUAAACAAAACAAUCUAAUGAGAGAUAACUACGCAAUUAGAAGACAAAUAACAAAACAAUCAAUGAGAGAAUUACGCAAGAAGACCAAUUCAAAUUAGUUCAAUGGAGAAGGAAAACGGUUACUUGUCACCACAACUAAUCAGAAACCUGCAACAUUCGAAGAAAACAACAGAAGAAAAAAAACGAAAUCAUGUUGUUGCUAUUAAUAUACAUACAUACCUAUUGUAGAUGAUUUCUUCUCUUGAAUAAAGAGAAGAGAGCACGUAGGAGAAGAAAAGCGCAAAAGCAGUUUCUCAUUGUCCUCAAUUGAAUAAUUUGCUUUUUUACACGUUAUAAGGCUAAAAGAAACUGAAUUAGAGUGGAGAAUUUUUUUUUUGUUCGAUGUUCAGAAUUUGAGUGGGAGUUGAUAACUUAUUUUUCUCCUUAAAACGUGGUAGAGGGUUUGCUCUCUAUCUGUUGGAAUAUUUUCUGAUUUGUAGUUUCCCUGUUGUACCCUUAUUUAUUAAAAUAUGUUCCUUGUGAGAGUUUUACAUGUCAGGGUAAUUUCAGGGUUUAUGAAAAUUUAACCAAAAGCAGUUUCACAAGGCAAAUUGCCUUAAUUAAUAGAGAUUAAUAGAGAUAGAAAGGGGGAGUAAAAUUUCGUAUUUUUACUUGAUAGCUAGGUAGCACUACUUCCUGUGUACAUUUCAUGAUUCAUAUAUAUAUUUCAUAUGUACCUUGUUUAGAUUCUGCAAUGGUCAUUCUCUUGGAGUUCCAUUUUCGAUCAAAUCAGCUGCACAUCCAUCUGCAUAGCAAUACUCUGAAUCCCUAAUUACUUUGAAAGUUUUGGCAUGUCUCGAUCAGAGAUGCUCCAGAGCGAUACAUGUCUAUCACACACACAUUUACAUAUGUGACAACCAAUUUGUUGUUAUUGAGGUAACUUCAUCGAACAACAGUAAGUAGGCCGGAGGAAGUCGUCUCUCUCUCUGUGUUCAGAUAGUGUACUUCGAUAUUUUGUUUAAUCCCCAAACUCUCAGCACUGGCUUCUUUAUUAGGAUUUAGGCUUUGAACAUGUUUUUGUUGCAGCUCCUUGGUUAAGUUUUAAGGCCUUGAACAUAUAUUGACGUUGCAGCCGACAUCAUGAGCAUGAUGGAAAUAUAGGAUGUUGAUUAUAAAAGUUUAACUCGAAGACACUUCCAGGAAAAGGCAAAAACUAACUAAGGGAAACUAGAUGAACCCAGUUCUACAAGGCAUGCAUUAUAUCUACAGGGCAUACACUCCGAUUCGGUGGGAACAACCGGACAUCAACCGCAUCUUUAUCUGCUACUAUAUAUGGUGUUGGAUCACAAAGAACCAAAAUAAAUAAAUAAAUAAUGCACAUUAUACACAAUCAAAAUCCCUCAACACUAGCCCUUGGAACCGUGGACGAUGAUGAUUUCCGGCUUUCCAGCAGGUGGUCUAACUCCUCCAUAGUGACAAUGGUGGAACAAGACCGUGGAGGAAGAAGGGAAAUAGGUGGGGCAAGUCGUCUAGUAGGUGAAAAAGAUGGCAGAGCUACUGGUGGAGGUGAAGGCGAAAAACUUAGCCUAGGCACAGGGGUAACAAUUCCAUUAAGACUCGGCGAUCUUGACAUAUGUUUUCCCGCAUAUGCAGCCGGGUCUAGCAAAGGAAACCUGGACGAGUGCCUGAUAUCUUGAAUGAUUUUGAGAUGCUCAACAACAGUUCUCAUAGUGGGUCUCUCGGAUGGGUCCUUCUGGAGGCAUCUCUGUGCAAUGUCAGCCAUCGCUCGGGCAGCUUUGGCUGGGAAGCGACCUUUGAGCUGCGGAUCCAUAAUCAGUGAAAGUCGAUGGUCAUCAGCUAAGUAAGGCCGGCUCCACUUAACUAAAUUCAUCUCUUCCUUGGGGUGCCGGCUAUCAAGAUUCUUCCGACCUGUUAGUAGCUCUAGAAGAACAAUCCCAAAACUCCAGACAUUGCUUUUGGGAGUAAGCAUUCCUCUUUCAAGUGUCUCAACUGAUAGAUUUGCCACUGCCUGCAAAAUGAUGAGAACAGGGGUAACAGUUCAGAUCUUAAAAAAAAAUCAUGUUGAAAUUAACAGUUUCCAACUUUAUAUGGAUUAAGGUAAAGAAAAAUCAUUUAAUACAAAGUAUUAAGAUUAGAACUGAUCUGAAAAGUAUUCACAAGAAACAAAGCAAGAAAACUUACAACAGAAUUGGUAGAGAUUUCUGCCUCAGGGAUAUGUCCAACACAGCCAUAUCCGGAAAGCUUUGCACUAAAAUCUUUAUCAAUCUGUAUGUUCGCAGUUGAAAACUCAUUGUACAUCGCCUGUAAAUAUAUAUGGAUAACGAUAACAACUCAGUCACCAAAGAAAAUGCACAAAUAUACCAUCAAAUAAUCUCAACAAAAUUUUGCUUAAAUAUUUUAAAUAACAUCAGCAAUUUCAGUUUUGAGGUGAUUUUGUGAACGCAACAAAAAGAUUCAUUUUUUUUAAUGAAGGGCAACUUGAAUCAGAGCUACUGGAUGCAUGAGGUGAUCAUCAUUUGAUUUCAGUUGUUCUUAGAUAAAAGUGCAAGCGGGUGUUCUUAUUACCUGGAAAGGUCCUUCUUCAUGCAAGAAUGUAAGACCCUGUGCAGCACAUAAAGCAAUUUUUGUUCUAGUGUUCCAAUCUAUUGGGGGCUUAUCUGAUCGUCCAUAUAAAAAUCGAUCCAGACUUCCAUGAAAGAGCCUUUCAUAGACCAACAUUUUUUGUUCAGAUCCCUCGCGUGCAUGGAAACCAAGCAAUUUACAGAGGUUUGGAUGUUGCAAAGAUGCAAUAGUGUUUACCUCAUUUACAAACUCCUUCAAACCCUGAAAAACCAAUAGCAAUGAGUUUCUAUGAAAGUUCUAAACAUUUGGUAAAAGCACUCUGUACCAUCAACUCUCAAUAACAAUCUGAACACUAGAAGAAGAAGUUACAAUUUACAAAGUGAUUACGUUUACUAUGAUCAAUAGGUAGGACACUAAUGCAAAACAUACAGUGAACCAAAUGUUUCGAGGCAAGGUAGAGUUUAUUUUGCAAACAUACUGACACCAUCAUUCCACAGUAUUACCAGUAACCCCAAAUUGGAAAACAAAACAAGGGUUUGAAUUUCAUAUAAUUGGAACACAUAAAAUGCUUCCAUACUCUUAAUUAUCCAUUCUGUUAGAGGCAUAAUUUUAUUUAUUUAUUUUUGCAAGCGUGAACAUCGCACACGAAGGAGCUCGUUUUUCUUAUUAGAUUAUAUAAGACAACAAAAGGAUGACAAUUCAAAGUUCAUCCAUAAGUUCAGGUAAUUUUCUGUUAAACCGUGGUAACAUUAAGGGGACCAAAUAACAUUAUUGACCAUAACAGACAUAAAAAUUUAUAUUUACCUGAGUGGAAGGAUGAAGGCGAGUAACAGUAGCUUCUUUUUUGGAACUUGAAGAUGAAUCUUCUCCAAAGGAAGCCUUAUACAUGAUGGAAGAUAGACCUUCAGACAUGCAUCGGUCAGAAGAAAAGUUGUGACAAGCUGAUGACACUUCUUCAAAUGAAAAGUUUCGUAACGUUCCAGUUGGAGGCAGGGGCAAUGGUCCAGAAGCAUAGAGAGGGCCGCUGGAAGUCAAUGACUUAAAGCUUCCCGUAGUCCGCAGUGCAGCAACACCUUGAGGUGAUGGGAGGGGAAGAGGUUGCGGAAUUGGUGGCGCUUGUUCCUUCAGGAUUCCAGACCGAUACUUUGGCUCUUCUGGCUCCUCAUAUUCAACUGAUGAAAGAGAUUCUUGGUCUGCUGCAUCUAGGGUAGAUGGAGCAGAUAAUGCCCGAGUUCUAUUGUUCUUUUUGGUGACUUUAUUUACUGGUUGAACAGGUUUCACUCUGUUCCUAAAACUUGGGGGUGCAGACUGUAGUGACCGGGUCGGGAUUUGAGGUUCAGGCAAUGUGGCUGGAGUUUGCUCCUUAGGGACGACACGUUUAAUAUAAAUAGUCUGCUCAGACUUUUUCUUCUUGCACUUCAAUACUGUGAAGCAACCCAUAAUUACGUUCAAAACUAAGAUCUGUACUUAGGCCUAGUUUUCUGCAUCAGAAGAACAAAGUGCAUACAUAUUAGCUGAAGCUGGAAAUUUGGAAAGUAGAUCUUUACUGUGCACCAACCAAACAUAUAUCAACUUUGUAUAGGUAGAUAAGCAGAGAACCCAAUUGAACCAACUGAUAGAAAAAAAUAAGCAACUUCACCAUAAGCAGAUAGGUAAUCCAAGUGUCCCGUCCACCCAAAAAAGAUCAAACAACAAUAACUGAAUGACUCCAAUAUCCUAUGUUAAGGUUCUAAGACUUAAUGAGAAGAAGAUACAUGAGUGCUCUACAACAAACUUUGAAAAGGCAGCAUCUGGGGAAAAAGAUAAUGAGAGAACAUGUCCCCAUAAUUUCCACUAACAAAAUCACGCUAACAUCCUCCUAGCCGUUCCGAAGGAAUAAACAGAUUAUACGAAUGCAAAACUCUUGUUUUUCUUCUCUGAGUGUUGGUGGGUUUAUGGAGAUUCCAUACCUAGUGUGGUUGAUAUUCCACCUAGAACUUAAUAAUUCAUCCCUAAAUAUUCCCAUUACACUCAGCCUAACACACAGACUCUUUUAUUCCACAAAUGCUCAAAAUCUCUUAAAUGUCAACUUAACAAUUACAAAUAUACUGUACCAACUAACCAUUCUACUAAAUUUCAACUCAAUCUAUGAACCCCAGAAACCCAUUUCUUCUGUUUAUCUUUACUUCCAAACAACAUCCAUUCAACUUUAAAAACAAAACAUCCCCAGAUCCACAAAAACACAAACUUUCUGCAAAGUCUACCAAACAAAUACCACAAUUAAUUGCACAAAAGCAAAUCCACCAGCAACAGACUGCACCAGACAAUCUAAACCCAAUGAAACACAUCAAAGAAUGAAUUUUUCAUCUCUAGCAAAAAACUUCAAAGCUCAAAUCUUGCAUAUAAUUUGAACAACAAGGGAAUGAAUUCAGUAAGAAAGUUAAACAGAAUUCAGAAAGUAAGAUAAUUUACCAGCUUUUCAUGCAAGAGGGUCUCAAAUGGACUGAGUAACCAAUUUGGAGAUAUAACCAAGCCUUCAACAAGUCAAAGAGAGAAAGCAGAUUGAGAAAGGUUUAUAGGUGAGUGGGAGAGAUACAGAGAUUGUCAGAGAGAGAGAGAGAGAGAGAGAGAGAGGGAAAGGAGGAGAGAGUUCUCAAAAGAGGAAUGAAGCCCCAAUGAGCAGUGGUCAAACCUACCAAAAAUCCAUAAUUAAUAAGCAUUUAAAAGCAACCAUUAUUAUUAUCCUUAAACAAACAGAAUUGCCUUUCUCAUUUCUUUUUUACCCAUUUGCCCUCCACAAUAUCCACAUUUUUAAUUGUUUUUCUGUUUUGUUUUUGUGCUCCAUUGGGAAAAUAUCAUUUUGUUUAUGUUCAAUUUGUGACGUGUGGAACCGAGCUAGACCAAGACCAUGCCUACGCGUAAGAUGUGAGGAGGAGAAGAAAAGGACUUCUGCUUCCAACACUAUCAGUUUUUUAUUUUUCAACUUACCUAAAAUACUAACGAAUCAAUUUGUCUAAGACCAACACUUAAACGAGUUUCUAUAGUAAUUUUUUUGUUUUAGAGGAUUGUUUUUAGAAUGUAUGUUUUUAAGUGUGUUUGAACGUUAUACUUCUUAAUGUUAUAUGACAUUCUUCUAAAAUUUAAAAAGACAAAUACCGGUCUUAGUUUUAGAGGUUUGUGUUUGAAUUUUAUAGAAUUGCGAGGAGAUAGUUUGAUUUUCAAAACAAUGAUGUAUACAGUUGAUUAUAAGUAUGUUGUUGAUUACUUGAUUUGUAAGUGAUUAGACUGAAACCACAUGAUUUGUUAACUAAAGUUGGUCCACAUAAUUAUAACGGAUAAACUUCAUUUUUUAAACCAAUGACUUCUACUCUUAUUGACAUCAUAAACAAACCUGAUAAUACCGAUUUUUGGUUUUCAGACGUUAAGAUUGAAACACAUAAUAGGUUAACCAAACUUGCAUAUAUUCUUGUGAUUGCACAUCAUCUGUGUUGACUCCCAUGUUCAUUGCAACUUACAAUGACAUGAGAAUAUCUUUUGCUCGAUUAGGUAAACUAGGCUACCAAAUGUUAGGAUCCAUGGCAUAUUAGGCAAAUGAGGCUAAUCAAGAAUGAUAAAGAUGAAGAAUAUGUUGAACUUUGGUAUAAUUUAUCAACAGUUUCCUCUAAACCAAACAUACACCUACGUUAUUUCUCAUUAGUAUACAUGUUGUUGAGUUUGACAAUAGCAAAAACAAACACGAAACAUAGUUUAGAUCGUUUAUUUUUAAUAUAAAAUAAUACUUAAAUGUUUGAAAUUAAACAACAAAAUACUCUGUCUAAUUCUCAUGAUUUCAUUUUCAGUUGUCAAAUGUAUUUUUAUAGAUACGCAGCUCCAAUCUUUGAACAAACGUAAGAGAUAUAAUUUUUAUGGUCAAUCAAACUAUAUAUGUAACAAUUAAAGUACAACCAACUCUAAGCAAAAAGAUAUAAUUAAAGGUUACUCUUCUAAGAAGCUAUUGUUGGCAAUUGAACACCAAUAUUUUUGACUGUUUGAAUUGGACUGAUACAUCUCUAGCCCCCCAUUUCAUUUUUAACAUAUGCAUAUUACAUCUCCAAGAUCAGUCAAGAAAGGAAACCAACCUUGUCAAGUAAGAACCAAUUGAAAUAUUAAAAACAUGGAGCCAACUCCAACUCGUAGGCACUACUUGGGAAAGUUUCUCAUGUGUUACUAGUCAUAGUCAAAUUCAUAUGGUUUGUUUAUACAACAUCUUAUAUACUCAUAAGCUAUUUGCGGCCAUGAAAGGUUGGUUACAGAUCAAAACUUCCAAAGGGUUAAAUACAAUGCACUACUUGACGUCUUGACCAUUCCAAAAUAAGCACAAAAUUACUUUGACCAGCAAAAAAAAAAUGGAAGGGUCAAUUGGACAUUUUACAACAGACUUUUAAGAUAAUUAGAAAAGUACAAAAUAGGGAAAUAUUGGAUUGUGGUGUUGGGGGGUGAAAUGGUAAAUUGAGAGACGGAGCUCGAUUUUCAACGAAGAGGGGCCUCGAAUGAAGUGACAUCCCAGUCAAAGUACCCCGAAAUUUAAUAAUAAUAAUUUAAUGGCAUGUUUCCGGUGUGGUCAAACAUACCUAUCAAGAUAGCGCUUUGACUCUCGGCCUGUCCCGUCGGAUCCGGGCGUGGGAGCGGCGACGGACGGUGGAUGUGCGGCCACACACACACACAGAGAGAACAAAAGGAGGACGCGGGACCCACUGACAUCCAACAUACUUUUGUUGUCUGUCCUCAUAAUAAGUAAUGAUCCAAUGUGGGUUGCUGUUCACGCGCCAUCAUUGCCCUCUCUCUCUUUCUCUCUGCAAUUGGUGGGCCCCCACAAGCCCUUCUCAAGGGGAGAGGGAACAGUGUUUCUGAGUGCCAUAACCCCUAAACUCGUAGGGGACUGAUGAGAUCUAACUGUUUCAAAGGAGUGGCCGUGAGGGAUUAGGGGUGCCCUUUAUUUCUGGGAGGGACCGGAAUUGAAGGCCCCCUAUCGAGUGGAAGGGUUUGAAAUUUCAAACAUUGUCAUCAUUUCGAAUUUGAAACUAGCAUCGUCCCAUACUCUCUUUGAUAAUGUUUUUUUCUUUCUUUCUUCUAUGAAUGUUUACUUUUUUUUUUUUUCAAAUAAUUUUUUGAUGGUUACUUUGAUAAUGUUUAUUAUGUCGCAUAUUAAAAUUUAUAUUUGAGUAUAAAUGUAAAAUGAGUAUAUGAGAUUUGGUCACAAUACACUAUUGACUAUAAUGAGUGAUUGAGCACAUUGAGCACAUGAGAUUGGAUCACCCAUCUCAAUGAUCUCAUUACAUAUAUGAUGAACAUUAUACUCAAAAAUUCUGAAGCCGGUGUUGAUUGUAAUUUCAAGCUCGUUGCAGUGUGAGUUACAUUAGGCUUUGUGGUAUAGAAGACAACAUAUUUUGUAUUUUUAAAUUACUCAAUUAUCUUAUGAAUUAUUAAAUAACAAAUAUAGUCAGCCUAAGUUCAAAAACUUGAUUGUAACGCUCUUCACAAUACAUGUUUGGUUCGAUGAGUUUCUUGUGAGAUAUCAGUAUUGACAGAGUUAUAUUUUGUUUCUCUUGACAAUAACAUGUCUUGUGUAAGUCUUAGCCUAACAAUUUCGCUUGGUUUCAAACUUCUUUUGAAAAGCAAAUAUCAAAUGUUUAGCAAUAUGUAUGAUUUGUUGUCUUAUCAUAAAUAAUCUCAACUAAUCAAUUAAUUUGAUUUUUCUUUGAUAUAAAUACAUAAAUUGAAUAAGCAUACGAUAUUCAUUACACUUUUUGUCACUUUUGAUUGUCAAAUUAAUGUCAAAUUAGUUAUCAUUCACAUUUUGAAGUUGUUUGCUCAAUCUUGGGUAUCAAGAAAGCUGGUAUUGAACAUUUCUUCACCGCAAAGUCUCUUUUGAAUGGUGUGGCCUCUCCCACCAUUAAAGCUGCACACACAAUCAAUUGAAAAUAGUUGAUAAUCGAGUUCAAAUGUUGAAGUGUUAGACACUUGAGGUAAGUUUCAAGGGAUACAACGCAGCUCCAAGUGUCUUUAGCCACUUUUGUUCUAAAGUCUAAUCAAAACAGCAUUAAGCGCCCUAUUCAAAAUUUCAAAUCAGAUCAUAUAUAUCAAAUCAUCCUCGAAUUCAUUCACAAUAUUAAUAAUUUAAAAAAAUACAAAACCACACUGAUACAUCAAUCAAUUUUUCAAUGACAAGCAAAUCAUCGAUUCAUGAAAACAAGAGCAGCAUACUUGGAAGCCUUCCCAAUGUAAUCCGAGACAUAUCUCCCGCAAAACUUCGUAUAGUUAUCGAAGGCAAACACUGAUGAACUGGCAGACGCCGCAACCAUUAGAAUCACCAGCAACUUGAGAAUUCUUCCCGCACUGUAUUUACCGGAUAGCCCAGAAAAUAAGAACAAGAGCAAGGUAGCCAAACUAUAAACACCGAAACCCUUUUGAACUAUGCUGAAGAUCAACUGAGCUAGAAACACAAGAAUUCCAAUGCACAAAGUAGCAACAAAUAACGGUUCCUGCAAGACAAACAAAACGAGCUACUGUAAAUAUCAUAGAACAAACUUAUGCGACAGUUAUAUAUGAAUGUAUGAAUACCUUGUAAAACUGUUGUUUCAGUCUAAGUAGAGGCGAUUGGAAUUCGGGGUUAUAGUCUGUAUGGUCUCGAUUCUUGAUGCGUGGAAUUCCAACUUUCUUGAGAAUUCUGAGAAGCUUGGAUUUCAGGGUUGCUUUUCUUUUUCUAGAAUUUCUAGAAACUGAUGGUGCUGUGGUUUCUGAAUUCAGUUUCAUUCUGAGGAUAAAUUUGCGGAGCUUGAUCAGAAGAGAGAAUCGAUGUAACUUCCAAGUGGGAACGAUUUGGGUGGAAUUGAAUUUGAAGUUGAAGCUCUUCUUGGCUUUGGCUUGCACUGUGAGUUUCCAUGUCUGCUGCUUCUCUGCUUGCAUCGCAGCUAGAACAGUGGACCAGUUGUUGGAUCUAGGACUUUACUAGCCGUUAUCAGCUGCAGAAAAGCAGAGAGAAACAUUGGAAAUAUGGACUUCUCCAAAACAAACAUUUGAAAUAUGGGCCUACAUCACUGGGCUUCAAGCCCAAAGAGGUUCACUGCAGGUCUAGUACACAUAUGAUUCAUAGACGUCAGAGCUCGAGCCUGAGAGUGCCAAAAACCAUGGUGAUGAUGUGCAUCAACUAAAACAUGAAGUUCCUUUCAAAAAAACUAAAACAUGAAGUUUAAAGAUGACACGAUCAUGUAGGUGGCAUGAGGAACCAAAUAAUAAGAAGAACAAGAAAAAAAUGUGUCCGGUUAAUAAAAAACAGAAAAGGCUGGAGAACCAUUACUUGAGUUGGCCGUAAUUCACCCAAAACGGAAGCAGUUUAUAACAUAUGUUGUUGUUUAAUUCUUACGGUUUUCGACACCAAAACUUGUUAUUUAUUUUGGUUUCCGUAGGAAAUGUACAGGGUUGAAUUUUUGGUGGUUUGGAAUUCCUAAACAAAAUGGUUACACGGAAAAUUUCAAAAGUACACGAUUUUACAAUGAUAUAUCUUUGUUAAAAGAUACGUCUAAAUGAGUGAUUCAAAAAUAAAUUCGUUAAUUAUGAAUGAGCAAAAUACCCAAAAAAUGUACGAAGGAAUUUGGAAAUGAAGUGACUUUAGCACUUCCCUCCCCUUAUAACCCCGACUCGUCGCAUCAGAUGUUGUUCAGCUGUCUGCUGAAAAUCAAAUCCAACUGUCCAAUUGAUUCAAUAUGUUGAAGAGAACUACUACACCAAGAGGCCGAUAGGUUGAUGACUUGAUGGUAGGUGGUCCUAGCAAUUGCUCCACUUAUUAGUGAUGCCUAAUCAACAUGAUAUUUACCAGAACCUCACGAAAACAUGUAUGUCUCUUGAAUUUGUGUGUGUGAUUAAUUAAGCAUAACGUACCCCAAAUCAGUACUAUAAGGGAGGGUUUGUCAACUAUUUAUUAUGGUUUGUCGAAAAUUCUUGUGUGGUUCGUGUUCCAUAUGAAACGAUGUUAUAUUUGACGAGUGAGUGACACAUGUGAGUGGGAUUAGCUAAUUCUUAAUGGUUGCUUGGUUAUCUUUAGUUAACUGUUUAAGUGUCAAAAUAGUGUUCACAUAGUCAGUUACUGAUCAAGAUUCAUGGUUAAUCAUCUUUGGAUGUAAAUCAAAUAACGAAGAAAAUCAUUUUUUAGUAGAGUUAUUUUGUUUUCGACCCUCAGAUAUAAAUCUAAUGAUGAUUAACCAUUAAUCUUUUAGUCAAUAACUUACUAGUUAGAUGAACAUAGCUAAACAGUUCGAAACGAUAAAACAAUAACAUGCGACUGUACACGCUGAUCUUAAAGGGUAGCUCCGCGCACAGUCGCUUUACUCAUCUCCUCUCCCCAUCAGAACAAUAUUACAAUCCCUCUCAAAGCUUCAUAAUACCGUUUCUGUAUGUGACAUUUUCCUGCAUCACUUAGUGUCACAAAUCUCAUUCAUUACUUUAAGGAAUGUAUUCUCAAUCAAUAAGGGCGGUACGGUCACCAAGUUGUGUUACGUACAUUGAGACUCAGACCCAACUUUAGUCCCCGGCCAGCUGCGCCUUGUGAUAAGCAAAGCAUGGGAAUAAAGAAAAACCCUAAAUUUGGAGUAUUGGACCACAUUUCUUCCAAUACUUAUUUGAUAAUUUACAAUACAUCUCAUCAGCUUCGUCAUUGUAAAAUGUAACCAUUCUCUAAUUGCUACUUUUUUUCUUUUUUUUUUGAGAACUCUCUAAUUGCUACUUGGCCUCCGCAAAACUAGCUAAAUCAAACACCAUGUUACUACUUCCCGCUAGUUCUACCAGCACCGUAAAAUAUUUAAUUACUACGUACCCUCAUCGGCGUAUUAAUUUACCUUGCUUCAUCAAUCACCAGAACUACUCUGCCUUCUUGGUCAGACUCACCGGCUGUUGUUGGUGAUGGAUUAGCUGUUGCUUCGGAACUAGCGCCACUGAUGUUACGACUGGUAGUUCUAGUUUUCUUCGAUGGUUGUUGAUGCUCCAGCAGUGAAUGCCGACAAUUCGGGCAUGAUGAGUGUGACACAAGCCAAGUGUCUAUGCACCUCACAUGGAAUCCGUGGUUACAUUUUGGCAGUACCCUAACCUUCUCGCCCUCCUCAAACUCUCCAAGACAGAUCGGACACUCGGUCGCCGGAAUAUGUGUCCCUUCGCCGUAAACGGCCACCGGUAACUGCCUCAAAUGACUCUUCUUGAGCCCUGUAGCCGCGAGUCGUGCCGCGGCCUGCUCCGGGGUCUCAAGAGCAAACCUGUGGCUGCAGCGGAGCGCGCACCGCACUAUUGAGUUCAAGCCAAGAGCGCAUAUAAGGGCACACAAGAGAGCCGCCAAGAUGAUCACCAUGUUUGUGUCGAAAUUCGUCUCGCUAACGUAGGAAUCGGCUGUCCGGUUGCCAUUGUUGUAAGGCAGCUCUGUGGCGUUGCCGAGGAGUCGGCGAUGCAUGAUUUGGUUUUUGCUGGCGGAAGAAAUGAAAAAUUAAAAAGAAACACAGAGGGUUUGUGGAAGGGUACAGAAAGGUUGUGAUUACUUGUAGCAGAUUUGAGUUACAAAGUUGUUGUGAAGAUUCCAGCUAGAAAGGGACAGGGAGAAGGAGCAUCUUGUUGGAGGGGGGAGUAGUAGCUAGUAGAAAUUAGGUUUACGCGAGUGGCUAUGCUAUCCGAAUCCGGGACCGAUUCCAGCUUCUUAAUCAGAGAUGGUCCUUCGAUCUAUCUCUUCCCUGAGCUCUGUAAUUUUUGGCUGUGAUUCAUCUUCGUCAGGAACCCAGAAGAGAAAAUGAUACCAGAGAUCUUCUUAUACUUAUCGGCAUAAGAAACGGUGACAUGCCCAGUUGAGCUUUCAGAGAGAGAGAGAGAAGGAAAGGAUUAGCUUAGGUAAUACAUGUGCAGCAGUUGUAGUGUUUUAAGGGGUCAAGUGAUGUGAGGAGCUAUCUAUCUAUAUUUAUGGAGGAUCCAAAUGCUAAAGUUGGAUAAAGGUGUUAUUUUUUGGAUACCUAAUCAUGAUUAAGAAUUGGAAAAAAGUUCACAAACCUCAACUCAAAUUUUGUAUUAGAGUUUGGUGUUUCAGGUUUACAAUCAUCAAAAUUUUCUCUAUACCUCAAUAUUAUGCACUCAGUCUAAAGUGCAAUUAUUUUAGUCGAAGUUUGUAUUGAAUAAUGAUAGGGUGUGUAUGUGUUUAUUUACUUUUUAUUUUAUUUGUUUAUUUUUGAAGGGAACACACAAUACUUGAACUCUUGAAGCUUGAAGGAGACCAUGAAUAAGAGAAUUGGCGACCCAUCAUGCGAGAUAGGAAUGAACUUCCUUGCCUAGUCUGCUAAUCGUCUUGUUGGAAGAUGAUUAAGCAUAAUUUCUUUAAUCAACAACGUUUGCCCAAGUGAAUACUGUUCUUUACACCUGAAUAAAUAAAUCUUAGGCCGCUAACUCAUCGUCUCUUUUCUUGUUUGACCGUCAACUCCGGAUCUGCCAUGAGAAUCCCAACUCAGCAAGUUAGGAGUGUCAUCUUUGCCGUACCUAAUGCAUGAUUAAGAAUAUAAUAACCCACAAUUAGGGCUAAAGAUCGAAGCUUGACUCCAAGGUAAGCAGGUGUAGAUACAGACAAGCAAGUCAUAUGUGGUAUCAACCAAGUGACAAACUGUUCGAGUUGUUAUCUGUUCAAAGAAAAAGAGAUGCAGAAUCAAAAGGCAUAGUGGAGAGAUUUCGUUGCCAAUAUCCCAUUCGAUCGGUUUGUACGUUACUUUUGACAUCAUACGUACAGAUGGAUAAGUAUGAUCGAUGUUCUUAAGCUAGAAAAGCACAAAAGAAAACUAUAAUAAUCCCCCAGGAAAUAUCAUUUUGCCUGCAAAAGAUGAUGGUCACGCAUUUGAACUGAUUGAUCCAUGUUUAUCUAUUUGGUUCAUCUAUUCAAAGGUUGCAAACACUUUAACCUAACAAAAAUGGUCCGACUUGGCAUCGAUCUCCUAGUUUUUGCAAAUAUCUUGGUGCCUUUUCCCCCAAACUAAAGAGAUCUGUACUUGAAAAAUGGUGUCAUAAUUCGGGUUGAUGGGCAAGCAAUAUCCCCAUAGGUCCAUGGGAAUUGGAUUCUCUCUGCUUCGUUUCUAUUUUAGUGCGUGGUUUCCCACAGAAAUUAGUGCAACAAAUGGAUGUGAGUUUGAGUUUCUGAUAUAUAUCACAGUAUCUUUCCCUUUAUUAUGUUAUCAAUACAUGUUUAUUCAGAGUUGUCAUGUAUAUUGUAUGUUCUUAUCACUUGUUUCAUAUAUAUUACAACACCAAUCCAUUGCUGAAACUAAUCAACUGUUAAAAAGGACUAAUUAACUGAUUAUGAGUUCCUAAAAUUUCAUAUUUUUUUAGUACUGCACCAACCUAAUAAUUGGUGCUCAGGAGGCAUGUGAUAGAACAUAUACCAAACAGUUUUGGAUUGACAUUUGCUAUUGAUCCAAAUUUCGAGCCUUAAUUGGAGAACAAAUUAACCAAUUUUUUGUUUUUGCAUCUUGGUUUGUAGAAAAAUUGAAUAUUUCACUAUUUCAAACUUGGUGAAUAUGAACAAUGUUGAGCUUACAAGAGCUGCAUGGGACACAAAAUACUUCAGAAUUGAUCAUUCACACAUUUUUCAGACACUCAGCCAACAUUAUCAGUGUUGAAUUAGAUCUAAAUCAUGAUAGUGGAUUUAUGUUGAUGAUGUGAAUCAUAGUUUUAUAGUUCUAAUAGGAAUAUGAGUAUCUCAGUUGUUUGUAAUAGGGAAUUGUAGUUGUGGUAGGUUUACUUUUCCUAGUAGGUUUAUGUAUGGUUAGGUUUUGUAUAUAUACACCUUCUCAUGUCAAUAAUAAGAUCAUCAGAUAUUAUUUCCAAAGCUUCGCAUGCUUCUUGUUUCUUUGCAGAGCUUCUUUAGUUUCAACUUGGUAUGAAAGUCUAGGAUCCGAUCUUGGAUUUUUGGGUCUCAUCCUUUCUAUUGCUCUUGCAAUUUCGUACGUUUAGGUUGUUUGUUUUCCAGUCAUGAUGAUCGAAUUAAACAAUCUAAACGUACGAAAUUGCAAGAGAAACAAUGAGACUUAAAAUUCAAGAUCAGAUCUGAGGCUCUGAUACCAAGUUGAACCAGAACCACAAGAUCUUGAAAACAAGAAGCUUUGAAAUAAUAUAUGAUGAUCUUAUUAGUUAUUAUUGAAUAAAUGAACUAUAAAACUAUGACUCGUAUCAACAAUAUAUUUAGACACAUUGAUGAGACUUUUUCAUAGUUUAAAACAUGAGAUCGUCCACGCUAAAAUGAAUAAACUUGAAACUUGAAAGUGAAAAUUUUGAUGGUGACCUCUAAAACGAAAGUUAUGGAGGAGCGUUUGUUUCAAGCAUUCGAAUUUGUUUCUGCACGGUCUCGUAGACCUCGUAGAAGCUCUUGGUGUGAUCUCUGCCUUUGAUUGUCGUUGACUAGCUACCUGCAAGAGGAGAUUGACUGGGACUUUCCGGUCUUUCUCUCUCCGAUGAUUAAAUCAGUUACGAGGUUGGUAUAAUAUUUAAUGUUAGGAGAUUUUUUUACCUUUUUGGUUGACUUUAGCAUUGUACUUAUAGCCUCGCGUUGACUUAUAUUUUGUCUGCUAUGCGAUGUGGGACAUAUAUGCUACUGAGAUCUGUUUAUUUGGCCUUCUGUGGCGUGUCUCCUGCUCGGCCCAAACUGCUAUGACCUCCAGGAUGAGGUUUGCUCGGUCUACCUCAUGUUGGGCUUUCUGUAGCAUCAUAGACCAGGGCGGUAUUUAUCAACUACCGACUACAUAAUCUAAUUUCUUAACAUUAGAUUUAGCGAUUGAUUGCGAAGUCUUAACCGGGGAUGGGUGAGAUGACCACAGUAUAGUGUAGUAUUAAACCCUAUAUCAUGUGUCGGUUCCGUUGCUCUUGUUGUACAGUGUGUGUAGAUGAUAAUACGAAUAGGACUAGGAGUCUAGGAGUUUCUGUGUGGCCACAGAUAUCAAUAAUUCAGUUCAAAGUAUGUACGUUUUCUGGGUUUAGUGAAGACGACACAUGGAACUAGGAAGCGAACAUGGAACCUGGGUCCGACGUUCCUUCAUGAAUCAUGAAUUAUGGGGACACAUUUCAUCGGUCUCAGCUCGUCGACGCUGGUGGUGGUAGACCCUCCGGAAGUGAUGUAUGUAUGCCUAAUUGCCUAUAUAUAAGUCGCACUCGUAAUAAGGUCAUUAGAUUUGGAGGUGGGCAUUUUUGAUGCGUGAGAUGUGAACUACUACAUUACCCGACGAUGGAUCUCAUUGAUCAUGUUGGUUGGGUUAGGUGGGAAAGAAAAGAUUCAAGAAUGAAAAAAUCAGUUGGCAGUUGAAACAACUAAAGCUCCGGCCAAACCAAAAUCAGGUCCACCACCACCACUGCUCCCCAGCCGCUCCGGCGGUUGGGUCAUGGUUUAGUUAGAUUGCUGCUGCUGCUACCUGUUACGACGCUACCUGAGGCCCUGAGCCCCCUCAUGUCACUGGCUGUUCCAUAUUUGGUAAUGAACUCCAUCCUCACUAUUGUUAAUUCGUCAUAUAUAAGGUGCCUUCUAUCGAAUAAAGUUUUUUCUAUUGUUGCCAUGUAUAUAUAUAUAUAUAUUAUUUUUUUUUUUUUUAAACCUGUAUAUAUUGAGGUUGUUGAAGAUACACUUGAUAUAAACUAGGCACCACUUAAACAAGCGGAGUCCAUCACCAAAGAGAUUGCAACCCUAGCAAGUUCACAUUAACCCAACGCAAAUGGUGUUACUUACGAGUCUUUAUUGUUUUACAUUUAUAACGAAACGUGUGAUGGUUUCUCUCUCAUUUUGGCAUUUUAAAAAAUGUUUAUUUAAAAGUCCGAAGACAAGAUUCAUUUUAUAGUAUGAUUAGUAUCAUCAAGUACUGUAGGUUGGGGCACGUACAUAUGAUGAACAUUUGUUAAACAGGAAUGAUGUAAUUAUUGUUUGUAUAUAUAAUUGUUUGUUGAAAUGGCAUCAUCUGAUGAACAUGCAUAUUGAUCGACAAUUCGACAUGAAUGCUAGUAUUACGACGUACGUCCUCGCGCGAUCACUUUGUGACGGUCAGUCCUAGCUCUACAAAUCUGAAGGGAUAAUGGUAAGGUUAUACAACCGCCUGCCUUAUUCUUUUUUUCUUUUCUUUCUUGAUUUUCUGGGCAAGUCUGGCCAGUUUCAUCUAGAUCCAUCGGGACUGGAUAUGUCUUGAUCUGGAAGCUAGUUUCAUUUAGGUAGUCGUACUCUUUGUUCACGUUAAGGUCAAUUGACAGCCAUAUCUGAAUUGCUUGCCCUAGAUCCUUUUCUCCUUCCUAACAGUUACAGUGGAUCAGACCCAUACGUACAUAAAUUAAUACAAACAGAAAUGAUUGAAAUUCUUUUUUUAUCCUCGAACUAUAGAUUUUCUGCUAUUGAUCUAUGCAAAACCUACAUGAAUGGGUCACCAACAUAUGUAACAACUAAGUGCUUGCCAUGUAUAAUCGCCUGCGUUCGAAUUCAUUGCUGAUUAAUUUUGUUAUAGAAAAACGUGUAUAUUGCGCUCCCUUCUUAGAUCAAGUUCAAUCUCUUUGCCAUCUUGGGUCAGUUUGGUUUAAUAGGCGCGCACCUAUUUCUUGUGCCAAUCAAGUAGUAAAUCGGGAGUAAUGUCAAGCAAAAAUAUGUACAGAGUCCAUGAAUAAUUACUUAUUAGAUAUAGGGAAAGUGGGUUGAUUUAACAUAGGCCAAAUCCAACCUCACUCUUGAAGUAAAAACAUGAAAGCUAGCUACAACAAAGUAGCUCGAUGAUAAAGAACACAACGUACAAUACUAGCUAUAGAAGGAUGCAGUAAUCUACCGAAGCCAUCACCAGCGCAUCGAUCAGGUACGUACUAAACCACCACCUUAUUCUUAUGUCACAAUAUAUAAGAUCCUGUAGAGGAAGUCAAGCAUCGCGUGGUGAGCUUCAUCAGCAACCUAGCUAGCCAGCUCUCACUUGAUGCUGCAACAAAAAAAUCACAAACAUUAGGUCAGAAGUCACUGCAUAUAUUUGAAAAUGUGUGAUGUAUAGUUUUUCGAGUAACAUGUAACAAGACGCUCAUGUAUACCUUUUGCAGUCAGUAGAAGGGUUGAUCUUGUAGGGAAUGUUGACACCACACUUGCCAGGAAGGCCUGCAGCAAGACCGGCGUUAGCUCCGGUGUAGGGAAUCCCAGCGAUUGCUUGUUUCAAACAGUUGCACACGCUCUGGCGGUCAGGGGUGGUUUGAGCCAUGCCAUAGAGGGCCCUGAUCCCGCCGCAGCAAUUCGCCGCGGGAGUCCCACCGUUUUGGACGUAGGAAACACAAGGCAUCAGCUUGUUCACCACCUGACCGCACGUAAGGGCUGCUUCGGCACCACCAAUCGAUAGUGCUGCCGCCAUGGACAGCACCACCAAGAACACCACCUUUUGAACUCCAGAGAACGCCAUUCCUAUGUCGUAGAGAUAAUAUGCUUCAAAAUACUAGAACUUACUCAAGUGUGUAGAGAGUAGAAGCUAGCCAGUGAAGUAGUGUGAGUUGAAUGGUCUAAGGAAUGCUGUAUAUAUAGAAUAUCUUACUCAGUGUAUUCAUGGUGAUGGGUAAAUCGGUAGUUGGCGGAAUUGAAAUCUUCAGAUGAGAUUGGUUGAGCAUUAUAAAUGCUAAUAGCUAGAACUGGUAUACUUGGAUUCAUAGAUAUAUAUAUAUAUAUAUAUAUAUAUAUAUAUAUUUGUUGAUANNNNNNNNNNNNNNNNNNNNNNNNNNNNNNNNNNNNNNNNNNNNNNNNNNNNNNNNNNNNNNNNNNNNNNNNNNNNNNNNNNNNNNNNNNNNNNNNNNNNNNNNNNNNNNNNNNNNNNNNNNNNNNNNNNNNNNNNNNNNNNNNNNNNNNNNNNNNNNNNNNNNNNNNNNNNNNNNNNNNNNNNNNNNNNNNNNNNNNNNNNNNNNNNNNNNNNNNNNNNNNNNNNNNNNNNNNNNNNNNNNNNNNNNNNNNNNNNNNNNNNNNNNNNNNNCGCCACUAUCCGGGAUUCCCGCAAGCCUACGGCACACUUUGUUUCUAGAUCACGAUUAUGAUUUAUGUGCGUGCAAAGGUUGAUUAGGGUUAACUACUUCAUUAAGAUUUAACCACCUUCUGGCUACGGCACCGCAAAUUAUUAUGUGUACAAUAACUUCGGUAAAUCAUGUCGAUCUGGGAUGACGAAUUAUCAUAUUUUAUAUGUGGUGAGUUUAAUGUGGAAUGAUUAAUUUGAUUGAGCAAACAGUAAUUCAGUUACUUAUGGGCCACGUGGUGUUCCCAGUAAAGGGAAUACUUACUAUAAGUGAACCCAAUUUGUUUCGAAGACAUGAAUCAAUGAAUACAAUCUGAAUAAAAUUUGGAUAUACACAAAUUUUUGAGAAUACAAAUCCCACAAGUGAAUAUGGUAUAUCACAUUAUAUUAAUUAGGUCAGCUUCAUCUUUCAUCACUUGAUUUUAGUUAAGCUCACAUAUAUUUCUUCAUCUAUACCUGACGAGUCAUUUGUUGAGUUUGUCCAGAUCACAAUUUAGGCCUUCUGUGGUUUGCAACUUUGCACUUAAUCCAUCUUGUACGUACAUGCUAAGUCACAUUUUAGCUAAGUGCAUGAUUAACCAAAUUUGAAACUAGAUUAACAUCUUUUGAUUACCUUUUGGCCACACCCAUUUUGCCAUGAUGUGAUCAGCUCCUCACAUAUAUAUACUACGUUGCAUACGUUGCUUGGUAUAUUAUGUAAGGUAGACCGAAGUUGAACACACAUAAGUUCAAAUAUAACCACAAGUACUAAACUAUAUGACUUUUUGUAUGUUAGUUUAUUUUGGUUCAUCUCCGAGUUCAGCACCUUCAGGAUAUAUUUAGAAAUUGUUACUACAAAUAUGUCUUCUUAUAAUUGAAAGAUAAAACACAGAUCUUGUGGAGAGACUUGUUCUAACAACCAUAAGACAUAAACCAAAGCUACUCGAUCUUCAUGCUAAGGACGUACUUCACAAACUUCCAUUUUAUUCGAUCUACUGCACACUUGAUGAGAUUUCAAGUACUUCAAUGGAUCCUGCAUGCAUCAGAAUACACAAUGAAAAACAAAACAUCGAAUUAGCUCAAUUAGGACAUUUGUGUUCAUAAUGAAAAUAGACAAUACGUUGUUUCUAGUUACGUACGUGUUACAAUCGGUGUCCGGCUUAAUUAUGUAAGGAAGCCUUACACCACACCGGAUUGGGAGACCAGCCACGAGGUUAAGCUUGAGUCCACCAGUGCCUCGAACAGCAGCAACCAAGCACCAGCAAACGGACUGGCGAUCGCCGGAGGUCUUAGCCGAGUUGCUAAGGUACCUGACUCCAUUGCAACACGGUACGGUGGAGGGACAUUGAAGGUCCUGGGGGGGGGGGAAUAGGCAUUUAUUACUUUUUCGUUCAAUUCCAUUCACAAGGAUAGUAAACAUUUAGCUAUCCUGAUAACAGGGAGAUGUAGUAAUAAAUAAAAGAACAAGUACUGGAAAGUAAAAGAAAUAACACCAGUACGUUUUUUAUUCGCAGAAACUCUGCACCAUGGAGAAAAACUGCGUGCCCCUAACUUUUGAGGGACAAACCUUUCCACUACCACUAUGUAAAACUCACUUCUUACAAGAUUAUAGUCUAGGGAUACAACGACGAUUUGCAAUCCUGCCUAGUCUACCCACUAGUCUAGAUCUAUCUCUCCUGUCUCUGAGUGACUCACCUCACUCCUCACAAGAUUAUAGUCUAGGUAUACAACAACUACUUGCUAUCCUGCCUAGUCUACCUACUAGUCUAGACCUACCUCUCUUGUCUCUCAAGUGUUUACAUAUGAAUGUAUUAGAAGAAGUUUCAACUCAGAACUCAGCUAACGCCUUUAACUGAUUUUUCUUGAACACUUCUCAGAAUACUCAACUCAGAACUCAGCUAUCCUAAUGAGAGGGAUUCUUCAGACUUCAGCUAACACCUUUAACUGACUCUCUAGAACUCAGCUCUCCUCGAUCAACUGAUCCUUCUUGAGUACUUCUGGGGUUGCUGCACUACCAUCACUCAUGAUAUGCAGAAUGCUAAUGGGUUUAUGAAAAGAGUUUUUGCUUUUGCUCUUGCUCUAAGAUUUACAAUCACCAAGGGAAGACUUAGAGGCAAAUGAGCAAUGCAAGGUAAAACCUAGACCCAGCUAAAACAAUGUAGAAAACUACAUUUUGAACAACCAAGGAGCAAGAAGAGACUUGCUCCAUAUAUAUAGGCAAAGUGCAAGCUAAAGGAGAGCAUGCCCGUUUACCAAAAUGGGAGGCAACUUUUGGACUUUAGUCCUUGUCCAAACUCAUAAAGUGAGAGGGCCAAGGGAUAAACAAAAGGCUCCAAGAGAGUAAAGACAAACACAACUCUCUUAUAUGAUAAUGGUCCAAUAAGAAAGAAACAAAAGGUUUUGUGAAUGAAGGAGACACAACAAAACCUAUUCUUAUACGAGGACACAUAGGCCAGCUGAUAGCUUGGGCAGUGCAUCACAUGGCUCAGCAACUGACUUGGUUUGAGUAUCACAAAACCUAGCUGGACUCAAAAAGGAGCUGACCUAAAAGUGUUUUAGUCAUGUGCUCAUGGGUUGGAAGAACAACACAACCCUAGACUAACUUGGAGCUCAAGCACGAUGAAAAAUGUUUUGCUAAAAGAGAUUUGAAAUUCAAAUAAUGAAAAGCUGAAGCAAAACCAUUUAAAUCUGCACGAAGUCAGACUCAGAGAUUAGGAUAGAUACAACAAGGGUAUCCACCAAAUCUGGAUGGCAAGCAGAGCUGCCAUCCUGAAUGAAUGUGAUGCACAUGCAUGAACUACCUGAUGUACAUGAGAUAAAAACAAAGAGCCAGCUAAUAUAUUAGUUUGUGUAUCACAAACCUAGCUGGAGCCUCUAAGCUCUAGUCAUGUGGUCACGGGUUGGAAACACUACACAACCCUAGACUGACUUGAAGCACCAAGGCAACGACAAAUGUAUUGCUAAAGGGGAUUUGAAUUCAAACAGGGGAAUUCAAACUAAUGAUACACAAAUACCAAAAGCAUUUAGACAUGUAUACAUAUAGACCCAAUAGAUUAGGACAGAUACACCAAGAGAUAUCAUCUGAUCUAGGAGGACAAGCAAAGCUGCCAUUCUCAGUGAAAAACAUGAGAUGCAUAUGCAUAAACUACCUGAUGUACAUGAGAUAUUGGCAGAUCUUCAUUCUUCACUUGUGAUAUCCUUACCAUCAGGAUAUGUAGAAUUCUCAGUGAAAAGCAUCAGAUGCAUAUGCACCAGUUACCUAGGACACAUGUGAUAUUGUCAAGUCUUCAUUCUUCACUUGUGAUAUCCUUACCAUCAGGAUAUAUAAAAUAGCUUGUGUCCUGUAUUUUGAUCAUAAAAGGGAUAGCCAACAAUCUUUAUACCAACAGACAUUUCCACCGUUCUGCAGGUAAACUAUGCAUGGUCUCACGCUUUGUGAUACCUGACCACAUGUGACGGUGUGGGCCGGUACCGGUGCACGAGCAACCACCAGGCACAUGAGGACCACGAAGGCCAACCUAGAACUUGUCAUGGAUGUGUCGGUAGGGAAGGCCGGACCUAGCUAGUUUAUACUGUUUCUGGAUUUAUGCCUAACUUGUGAUACUGGUAUGCCAUGUCGAACAUUUGGUACUGGUGGUUUCAUAAAUGAAAAUGUUAAAACGUGGGAAUGUGAAAGAGUGACACGAAAUAGGAUUGUAUCAGUUGGGAGCUAGCUAACUCGGCGCUAUAGAUUGAAUUCUGUUAAUUAUACUUGUUGUUUAGCACCUUAGGUAAUAUAGAUGACUAGAAAUGUUUGUCUCCACCGUCUGUAUUUUUUCACAGAACAAUUGAAUCUGAUUAUAUGUCCUUAAGGUGUGAGAUUGAAUCUGAUUUUAGUUUGAGUUACAACUUACAACUGAGAUCGAGUUAAACUUUAAAAAACAAUGGAUAAAAUUAAGUUUGAGACUUUGAGGUGAGAUAUAAUUGAGUCAGAUAACACAUUGUUUUUUAACAAACUACUGUUUAAUUUUAAUUACGAUUGUUACUACAACAAAGUAUAAUGAAAAUCCCAUUCUUGAUUAUAGCCUAUGAAUUACAAGUGAGAUUGAGUUAUACUAUGAUUUGAGGUACUAGCUAGCUGGAAGACAAAACGAGUACACAUUUUAAAAGCUUUUUGUUGAUCGACUGCUUAAAGCCAUUCAUUAUCUCAAACACAAAGUGCAACUGGAACGAGAUGGAAAGCUAGCUUGUCUGAAGUCUAAGCAAAGAAAUAAAGCAGAGAGCCUAAUCCAAAUUUCAAAUUUGUAGUAUUAUAAAUAAACGAGUACAUUACAUGGAUCAUAACUUCAGAAGUUCAUAACCUAGUAGAUUAUGGAGUAACUUUUGGUAAUACUAUCACUGUGGACGUGAUCACCCACACUUUAUUUAACGCUCGAUACUAUCACUUCAAGGGAAGUUUACUUUCCAUCGAUUUAGCUCUUCACUUCACGCUGCAUCACCAAAAGAAGAAAACCAUGAAAUUAGCUCCGGUGUUCCGUUUGAGAAAAACACGUACAACAUAAAAACUAAAAGCAAUUGCCAAUUCGAUCGAGAAGAAUAUGAUCGAGUGUACUUACGCAGCGCAGUUGGUGGAGGUGCUGAUCUUGUACGGAACGCUAACCCCACACUUGCCUGGAAGCCCAGCUGCAAGGCUAGGGUUGAGUCCUUUGAUGGCACCGGAGGCCUGUUUGAGGCAAUUGCAGGUGGCCUGGCGGUCAGCAGUGGUCUUAGCCGCGCUGUUAAGGGAUCUAAUUCCGUUGCAGCAAGCGGCAGGGACAGCGCCGCCACUCUUCACGUAGUUUACGCAAGGUGAAAUGCUACUCGCUACUUGGCCGCAGGUGAUGGCUUGGGCUAUGGGCAAAGCAACAACAAUGCACAAGAGAGCGACCAAAGAAAGCUUCAUAGCAGUAGAGCUAGCCAUAUUGCAGUCUUAGCUAGGAUGAUGAGCUUGGAAUAUAUGGGUAUGUAAUGACUUGUUUUUGAGAGCUCGAGUGAGUAGUGAAGGUAACCCGGAUGGGGAUUAUAUAGGGAAGGGGAUGGGGUGAGUCUCUAACUAAGUUUCCUUACUCCUUGGGUCGAUCACAUCAAUAUCAUCACUUAAUAGUUAUUAGUUUUGUUGAUGAAAAUGCCACAUGUUUUAAUUUUAAACCAUUAGAAACUUCUGGACCACGUACAAGUUCAAUUUCAGUGUUAGAGUUAUAUGACUUUCAGCAUUUUUUUUUGUUAGAAACUGGUAAAAAUAGUAUCUAAAUUACGUUUGCAUGCACUAUAACUUGUUAUCUUCUUCUUCUUUCUUCUUCUUCUUCAUGAAAUUGAAAAUACUUUCUCCAACAUAGAAAAUGAAUUCUCUUUCUGUUAGGAAUAACGAGAAUAAUUGUAAGCAGAGAAUGCAUUUUCCUUCAUCAAUAGUGAAACAUCGAACAAUAAGGUUAGUGUGAUAUAUCUAUCAAAUUAUAAAUGUCAUUACUCAAAGUGUGUACGUGUAGGAGGAGUUGGGAGGUAGUUAGGUGGCAGUUGUGCUCGAUUUAAUGCUUUGGUACUGUAUAACUUUGGUUUUUAGAUAUAGUUGAGCACGUCCCUUCACAAUAAAAUGGCAAUAUAUAUGAUAUCCUAUUGAAGGAACAACCUCGAUCGUUAUAUUUCAACCCCCUUCUUGAAAAAUAUACACAUAUGCAAACCGACUAAAUAAUUUCAACUAAUGGACAAAUUAAUUGAAGAAGUAUGAACUUUGAACUACUGAAAAUCUACUACUUGUUGGAGACAACUAAGAGCAACCAAAUAGAAGGUCGAUAAGGAUUCGUUAUAGAAAAUAUGUAAACGGAAUAAAAAAUUAUGCAACCAUCUAUCUUAACAUAUAUAUAUAUAUAUAUAUAUAUAUAGGAUUUUUCUCAGCUACAAACGUCUGCACCAAUGGUUUUGGUGCGGAUUUUCAUUUUUGCACCACUUUUCAAUCGAAUUUCCUCAUCUCCACCGUCUACUAUCUAGAUAAUAUUGUGUAGAUCAUCUCUGCAAAAUUUCAGCCAAUUUAAUAAUCGUUAAGGCCCUCAAAAUUGUGUCUUUAUGUUAUAAACAUGAACGGUUCAUGUUUGACAGAAUUCAGUCCGUCUAUUUGUUUUUCGAGUUUGAGGGCCUUAACGAUUACCAAAUUGGUUGAAAUUUUACAAAGAUGAUCUAAACAAUAUUAUCUAGAUAAUAGACGGUGGAGAUGAGGAAAUUCGAUCGAAAAGUGGUGCAAAAAUGAAAAUCCGCACCAAAACCAUUGGUGCGGACGUUUGUAGCCAAGAAGCCCUGUGUGUGUAUAUAUAUAUAUAUAGGCCGGAUAUGAAGCGGACGUCCGCACCGGCCUUAAAGUGCGGACGUCUGUCCGUUCUCCACCCUCCGACGCCGGCGACGACGUGCCUCCACCACAAAAGACUCCAGCAGCGUCCCCGACCACUUUCCCUCCCCGGCGAGUCCGUUCUUUUCUAGUUUUCUAGCGAGAUCACCCAAAACUUCAAACAAAGUCGAUCUCGCCGGAAAACUGAAAAAAACGGACUCGCCGGGGAGGGAAAGUGGUCGAGGACACUGCUGAAGUCUUCUGGAGUGGAGGUGCGCUGUCGCCGGUGCCGGAGGGUGGAGAACAGACGGACGUCCGCACUUUAAGCCGAGUGCGGAUGUCCGCUUCUCAUCCUCUAUAUAUAUAAACAUUCGACAAUUAACUACGAUUUCUAAUCAGUGACAGACUCAAAGAUUAAAGUUGGGGUGUCACUAUAUGUUAUUAAGUAUUAACCUAAGCAUGAACUCAUUUGAAUCAACUUACAAAGAGACAUAUAUACAAGCCAAAUUGUGGGGUGUCAUGGCCCCUUUUGGUCUUCAAAUAGCUCUGCCAAUACUUCUGAUUCAAAUUACUGUAUCAUAACUGAACUUUGCAACGGACAACAUAACACAUAAUCGAGUAGCAGACAAUUGUAAGCGAGCAACAAUGACUUAUGGAUUUAUGGGAAGCAGAUCUGUUGAUUCGUAACCGAAGAAGAAAUUUCUUGGGUUUGUUGUUACAAUUUGGGGGAAGUAAAUGAAUUGGGGAACAAAAUUAAUUUUGGAUGAGAUGAUCAGAAUAAUCAGACCGAUGCUAAAGAAUGUUGUAAAUAUUAUAAUAUAUGUGGAUGUCCUUGUAAAUACUCAUUAGUUAUGUCCUUAAGAUGUAAAUCAUACUCCUAUAUAAAGGAGCCUAAUGAGAAUGAAAGUGACACUUCUUCCUCCUCCUACAUUUUGUUCUUCUCUUUUUUCUCUAUCUCAUUCUUAGUUUAUAACACGUUAUCAGCACGAUUUCGCUCAUUUGUUCCAUAAACUCCAUAACGAUCUAUGAGAUAUUGGUGCAACUUUUGUUGCUUAUUAUCCAUACUCACGAUCUAUGAGUUCACUUCUAUUUUGAUUAUAUCUUGUCUACAUAUAUACUUUGUUUAUAUUACUUAAUUCUAUGUUUACAAUUGCUUAUAUUAGUGAGCCUGAAGUUUCGUUAAUAAUUCUCAAAUAUGGAAUUUUUGAGAUUAUGAACCUGAAGUUCAAAUAUUAUAGUAGACUUGCAAUUCUAAUUGUUUGCAUAAACCUGAAGUUUUGUGCAUGUACAUGUGAUCCAUUGUUCACAAAAUUCGAACCUGAAGUUUCGAUAUUGAUAUUACUUUCAUAUGAACAUGAAGUUUUAAACAACAUAAUUAGAUCCAUGAUGAUCGAUGUGGUCUUGAAAAAGAGUCUGAAGGACAUGUAUCUAACGGUGAGAUAUCCGCUUGAGUUUUGCCAAACAUCGGUUGAUCAGUUACCAAGAGCAUGAUAUGAAUGGAUGCUUUUGCGCCUUCUAAUAUGGAUCAUGAUAUGGCUAUAGUUAUGGCUUAACCAUUUUCGGCCCAUUGACGCAUGUCCUAUAAUUUAGUGGCAAUUUACAAAGCCCUUUUUGAAUGGCAAUAAGACCAAAAUUAAUCAUAUUAAUCAGUCUCUUGAGAAAUCUGAGCCAUGAGUGGAUGUCACUUCACCUAAGUUGACAAUGUUUUUGUGGCUAUAUUGAAAUGUUAAAGACAUGAUCAAUGGGGGUGUUCUUAACACCGAUUAAUAUUAAGCCUAUCAUAAUGGAAUUUUGGACACCGAGUUAUUGUGAUUGAUAUGAGUGCCUUCAAUUAAGGUUAUUAUACGAGUGCAUAUGGUUAAUUUUCUUCCCAAUAAGUGCACAUAAAUAUUUUUCAGGUCAUUAAUCUAGCAAUCAAAUGUCAUUGUUCACAAUUAUAUGCACCAUUUACAAGCAUUUAUAUAUACCAAAUUUCAGUUAUUAAUAACAUGGAAAUUCAUCGGUUUCUUUAUGCGGUUUUUCCCAUUAACAGCCCAAAACAUCAUCAUUCUUAGGUUUUGAAUUAUAUGUAUAUUAAUUACAUUUUAUUGGUUUCAUUACCUAGCCUGGAUGGAUGUUUCCAUAAUAAGUAGUAGUUUUGGAAUUUUAUGACCAUUGAUAACCUCUAUUUAUUGUUUUAUCAAUUCAGGUCUAGUAAUUGGUUUUUUACAGCCUUUUUGUUGUGGUAUUAGUCUUUCAUGAAACUUAUUGUUUUCAUAAUAUCAGAUUUAUUAAAGGGACUAAGGUAUGUAUUUUCCCAUUUCAUUAUUUGCAUGAAUUUAAUCUAUUCAUUUCACGACAUUCUUCGUUUUAUGAAUUCCGAGAGAAUUACAGUGAACUCCAUAAUUGAAACUUGAAGCCUCUUUAUCCAACUACAGAGGGCCUGAAGUUCCUCACGAGUAUUUUAUGAAUUCCGAGAGAAUUACAGUGAACUCCAUAAUUGAGACAUGAAGCCUCUUUAUCUAACUAUAGAGGGCCUGAAGUUCCUCUCGAGUAAUAUGAUAAAUGGGGAGAUGUAGGGUAUCAUAGUAACACUAUGGACAUAAAUGAAGGACAUAAAAGGUGUUCUCCAGUGACCAUGUUUCUCGGUCCUUUGUAGGCCGAGACUUCCUCGCUUUAUACUUGAGUGGAAAGAUUAAAGGUUAUGAUAGAAAAAGGGCACAUAUAUUGUUUUCUUUCCUCUGCCGGUUGCAUCUUUUGUGAUGUUGUCCAGAGUAUCUGACCAUUGGCAAGAUGUUUUUGCUAGAAAUCUGACUACCGGCAGUUUUUUUUCUGAUCACUCAUCUUAUUGAAAGAUGGUCCUUAUGCAUAUUUAUGAGAAUUGGAGGAAACACGUAGCUAUUUAAGCUCUGCAUGUACCCAUUGCAAAUACACUCAUUGUGCAUGUCAUGAGAAUAUGACUAAUUCGGCCCACAUAUAUUAAAGAAACAAUAUCAUGGUAUGAGAUUAUGAAAUUCAAGUAUGUUUUAUUUUUCUUAACCUUAUUCGGUUUUAUAAUUAAAAUUGAUCGAAACCUGGAGUUUCUUGAUCAAACUAUAUGAGGGCCUGAAGUUCUUUGAAAGUGAUAUUGUCAAAUUAUUGAAAUGAAGUUUCUCAAAACUUAUGUAAUCAACAAGGACCAGAAGCUCCUUAGAGCUAUACAAUAUGGUUUUCUUGUGAUCCACAAUUAUAUGAGAGCAUGAAGCUCCAAUUUAUUUUGAUACAAUGUUAUUGUGAAAUUAGAGGAGAGAAACAAGAUUAUCAUAUUCGUGAAGGUAACUAGACCAGAAGUUCUUGUACUUUUUCACCAAUAGAACUAUAUGUUUCCAUUCUCAGAUUUUACUUAUCCUUGUUCCUUACCAUUUUAGAGUUUGUUAAUUAUUUUCCUCUUCUAAAUUUUAUUGUUACUCAUACGGGCCAGCAACUUUAUAGCACGAACGUAUGAAUUUCAAAUGUCAUGUUUUUGAACCAGAAGUUCAAAUUACUGAAUUAUAGAACAUAAGAAUUCCAGAUAACGUGUAAAUUAAAAGCUCAAGCCCGAACCUGAGUAUGUAAAUUAAAUUAGUGAACUUGAAGUUUCAGUUCAGUUAUCUGGAACCUGAAGUUUCCGGCACCAAAUUUAUUUGAACUAGAAGUUCAACAUAUGAAAUCUGAGUACUUGAAGUUCUAACAUUAUAAAUUUGAACUUGAAGAUUCGAUUACACAUAUGAUUGAUGGCUCCGGAAUAGCACAUAAUAUCCCCUCUUUACAAGAAGUGGCUUCAAUAUGGUUCCAAAAUAUGUAUUGAGAUCCCACAUCGCCCGAAGGAGGGGAGAAGAUGUGUUGCAAACAUACCUCCCCAUAGUGAGACUAAUUUUGGGUUGGCAAUUCAAGCACAAAAUUGUAAAGCGAGCGAGAUCCAAAAUGGACAGUAUCUCGCUAUGUCGCCUAUUACGUGUGUUAAAUUCUAUAAUAUAUUGAGACACAUAAUGUCAUGAACCAGAAGUUCAUUGAACCAAAUUAAUUAUUUUGGCAUGACUAGUUAUAUCAUAUUUUACCUACAGUGUUGUUUGAAAUUAGUAACAACUUUUGAUGCCUGUUAGCUAACGCUACUCAUAGCAAAUUGUUUAUUUGCUGCAUAUUUUUUUGUUGGUUUGUCACUUUAAUGAGACACUUCUCUUGUUAUGAAAGGGAUAAAGAUUGUUCCUGAAGAACAACAUGAAUUAUUGUGGAAUAUUUACCUAUUGUCUCAUUUUGAGCUUGAGGAAUAUCACAGCUAGUGACUUAAUAAAAACUAUUGAUGACAAAAUUAUAUGCUAGCGGAAGAAGAUUUACUUGAGUAAAAUCUUUGAGACCAACCAUAUUAACAAAAAUAACAUUGCCCUGUUUGAUUUGUGGGAAGAAUGAGAAUCUAAGUGACAUGGUUCUUUUAACGUGAAUGUCAUUAAAAAUGUCCGAGUUCCUAAUAUGGCGGCUACAAUAUUACACAUACAAAAGUUAAAAGUACACUAUCAGAGGAUGAUAUCUUGGUGGUACAAUUAUACAUCAAUAUGGUUGAUACUCAUGAAUUUAAUAUUUUUUGACCUUAAACUUGGUUUGGGUUUGCCACCAGCCAAUAGACAUCUUUACUCGAAAGUAAGUGAUAUACAUUUAAAUGCAUUUUUAUGCAUGGUCAAAAUAAGACAGUGUUUCCGCCGUUAGGGGGAGAGAAAAGACUACUGUCAUUUGAAUAACGGCGUGAAUUUGGAGUGGAAUGUAUCCACUAGGUCUAAAAUUUUAAGCUCCUGAAAAUGGAAGAUUAUACAUGUCCUAUAAUGUUUUAUGAUAUUAUGAAUAUAGAUCCACAUUCGUUAGAUAUAAUUCAUUUAUGAGAGAUGUUUGUCGUAGAAGUGACAAUAUUUGCCCCAAAAGUGGCAUGGGUACCCAAUAUUAAUAAGCUCAUAAUAACUAAUGCAUGCAUAUAAGAAUGUGUGGGAUCUAUGAAUGAUGAUCAUCGAUGAAAAUUUACAUAUGGUAGUUACCAAAGACCGUUAAGGACUGUAUGAUGCAAUACCACGUUUCAUUAUGAAUGUCGACAAUGCAUAUUAUUGGCCAAAUUGGAUAGAGGCAAUUCCAAUGAACUGAAUAUAUAAAACGUGAUGAGAUAAUUAGACCUUUAACCCUACAUGAUUCAAAAGGGUAUUAAUCACAGUGAAAAUAAAUCACUAUAUAUGGCACAAUGUCUACAAGACACAUGGGGAUUACAAAUAUCUUUCCUUAUACGUGACAAUUUUAUGUAAGUACAAUGUUACAUAUAGUUAUUGACAAAAGACUUACUGCAGUUGUCAUCGUAUAUUAUAAAGAUCUUAAAAGACUUUGCUAAAAGCAAAACCCCAAAAGUACAACGUCAUCAUAAGCGUAUCGCGUAUCAAAUCCUUAAAUGAUUCAAGUACAUGAAUGAUUCAAACGUAAAUCGAUCCAUGAAUACUUGAGAGAGUCUAAAUAUGAGAUUGCUUAUCGCUUAAGGGAAAUGACGUAAUGUGCCUUAUACAUGCAAACACAACUCCCAUUAGUGAGACGUGUCUUGGGUUGGAACCCAAUAAGAAAGCCAUGAGGAGGAGGCCCAAAGGCGAGCAUAUCUAGUUAUGCUGGGCUGUUAAACUAAAGUUAACUCAUGCAAUCUAUAGUCUAAAACUAGCUCAUAUAUAUUUAUUCUGUUAUAGUUAACGUGAUCAAAAUUGCCUUAAUGAGUAUUAUGAUUGGACUACAAAACCGAAUUCGGAUUAUGUUGCUACAUAUUCUAACUUUCGCGAAGUUAUGAAUUGCUUAAAGCUUUUAAAGAGCAUAUACGAGAUGUAUCAAUCAAUAAACGAAGAUAUUGAUAUGAGUGGCUCGAUAUGCCAUGCUAAUCUUCCAAUGGUUUUGAACCAUACAUAGUAAUGUGUUGAUUAGUUUCUACUGCUUAGUUAUUACAUAAUGUAUGAAUUUGAACAUGUGAGGUUGUUUCUAACAUUAUAACAUGAGGUAAGACCUAUUAAAUUGUAUAGCUCUGUUGGUAUUGUCUUCACUUUGCAGGUAUGAAAAUCUUGUGAUGAGCCCCUGUAUGCAAAAUGAAUAAGAUCUCACUUCAGUGAUAGACAAAUCAAACUGCUAUUUAUUAUACAUGAAGCUUGCAACGAUCACGGGGAGAAUCUCAUUAGGGGGAGCAUCCAGAAGUAUGCUACCUAGGACAUAUGCGCGUUGCACUCUUUUUCUCCUUUGACCAGGGUUGUUUUUUCCCACAGGGUUUUUAUUACCUGACAAGGUUUUUAACAAGACAACACUAAGAUCGUCCAACAUCAGAUUAUUAAUGGACAUCCAAGGGGGAGUGUUGUAAAUAUUAUAAUAUAUGUGGAUGUCCUUGUAAAUACUCAUUAGUUAUGUCCUUAAGAUGUAAAUCAUACUCCUAUAUAAAAAAGCCUAAUAAGAAUGAAAGUGACACUUCUUCCUCCUCCUACAUUUUGUUCUUCUCUUUUCUCUCUAUCUCAUUCUUAGUUUAUAAAAAGAACAUAAUAAGUGAUGAAAAGUGCAAAAAAGGGAAAGUCAUCCAUGUUCGGGUUUUUGGGCCUAAUGAAUUUGAAGCCCGAGCUUAGACCGAGCAUUAAGCAAUUGGGUCGAGAUUGACUUGGACCAAAAAAUUUCACUCUAGGCCUGGCCCAUUUAGAGUUUUUCAGAUUCAUGCAGUUGUCCCUAGUUGUAAAAUGUGUUGUGAUAAAAUUAAGUUGGAAUUUUAGGCCCCUCAAUGCCUAUAUUGUAGAUAUAAUGGGAAGUAUUAUCACGGAACAGAGUAUUGAAGGCCCCACUAAAAUAUUAUCAUCCAUCAUCAAGUUAGGCAACUCAUAAUCCAUAUUCCUAUUAUAAAAAAAGGUCGCCUAUGGUACUUAAAUGUAUGUAACUCUUAGUAAAACUAUAUAUACCAAAAUUACAAUUUCAUUGAACCAAAAUUACAACAGAGUUACCAUAUUCAUUUUACAUAUUAAGUCAUUAAUAUUUAAAUAACCAAGUUACAACAAUUUGUUCAUAAACUUAUAAAAAUGUCACAUAUGGAGAAAUUAAUCAUCUCUGAUAAAAUUCUAAUUACCUAAAAGAUGAUUUUAUUUAUCACAACGAUAACAAAUUUGUUCAAACCUUCUAUCAUCUCGUGGGAGUAAUUAUGUUGUUGUCAUUUUUCUCCAAUGAUAUUUGAAAUGAUGAAAUCUUGAUGUACCCUAGUGAAAUGCUAUUGGCUCAUAACAUUUAUAUUCCAAUCACCUAUAGUCCUAUACCCGGCUUCAAAUCCUCUGUUUCCCUAUCUCCUAUCCCUGUAACCCUAUUAAAAUUUGACAUUUAGCACUUUUUGCUUAAUCCUUAACACCCCUUCUAACCUCUGUUAACCUUGUUAAACCCUCUCACUAACUUUAAUUCUAACCCAACUCUAACUCAUCUCUAAUUUGUAAUUAAAUAUAGGGUAGUGCUUGAGGGCCUUAAUAAGGCCUAAAAUUUAUGGUCUUAAUCCUAUGUGGCAUGUCAUGUCACAUAGACACAUCAUCAAUUUAUUAAAUCAUGACGUUUCAUUCUUAGAUAAAAAUACAAUCUUAACCCUAACAAUUAAUGGAUGCUACAUACUAAUAUGAAAUAUUUUCUUACCAUUUUAAUAUGGAUGCAUAUACCAAAUUUAAUUAAUUUAUUAAUAAUGACCAAGUUAAUUAAUAAUCAUACCAAAUUAGGCUUUUAUACCAUAAAUUAAUUUCGUAAAUUUAUUAAAAUUUCCUUCUAUCUUUGUGAAUCGAAAUUUAGUUCUAGAUAUCUAUAUUCCAUAUUCUAUAUCGAAUUUUAAAAAUAAAAUAAAAAAUAGAAAAAUCUCUAUCGAACUUCUUUUGGAUGAUUACAUAUAUAUAAACUUUAUUUUUGAUGAAUUAUAUAUAUAUGUAAAUUUUUUAUUCUGUACGAAAUUGUUUUUUCUUGGACAAAUUAUAUAUCCGUAUAUAUAUAUAUAUAUAUAUCAUAAGAAUUUGUGUUUUUUAAUAAGUAUAUUCUCAGAUUUAUAUGUAUUUUUACACUGUAUUUUAGUGUUCAAUUUAAACAUGAUAGUGAUGAAAAAGAAAAGAAAAAAAAUACUAGAAAUUAUAUAUUUUUUAAAUAUAAAAGAAAGACAAAAAAUCAAUUUUUUUUCCUCUUAAUAAAAAUUCAAAAUAAUUUAAAGUAAUUGGAUUUAUAAAGAUAAGAUUGUCUUUUUGCUUAAAAAAGAUAUGACAUAAUCUUUUUAAUUGAUGAUGUGUUUAGGUGACAUAGGAGAAAUUUUUCAGUGCUACGGGAGGACCACGUGGCAGUCUGACGUGGUCCUACUUUCCAAUCAAAUUUAGACAUGUAGAUUUUCUUCACGAAAAAUUAUUUCAGCUAUUUUGUCAAAGACCAUUUUAGGUUUUCUGUUUUUUUUUUAAUACUAAACCCUAAGCCCUAAACCCCAAACCCUAAACCCUAAACCCUAACCCUAAACUUUAAACCCUAUACCCUAGACCCUAGUUUAAACUUGCUAAAUACCCAUGAAUGUCAUUUCACAAAAAAUAGAAAAUAUUUGUUUAUAUUUUAGUUGUAAAAAAUCCACAUGUCUAAAAUUGAUUGGAACGUAGGACCACGUCAGACUGCCAUGUGGUCCUCCCGUAUCAUUUAAAAAUUUCUCGUGACAUAGCAUGCCACCUAAGAUUAAGGUUAUAAAUCUUAGGCCUUAUUAAGGCCAAUAAUCAUUUUCCUUAAAUAUAUUUAGCAAAAUCUAGGUGGUGAUGACCCUCUUCUUCUUUUUUCAUUGACAAAAAAAAAAAAGAACUCCCUCUUUCUUCUUUGUUUGAAACUCCUCUUUCAAGUACAACAAAACUAGUUUCAUUUGCAACUUAGAAUGACAUACCGAAGAAGCUUUCCAAAAGGGACAAAAGUACAUGAACAUUAGUAAGCUUCAAGACAUCUUUGUUUAAUCCUUGUAUUAAUUUGUAGAAGAAAACUAAUGUACAGAUAUCAGAGGGGCAUGCAAUUGGAUAUUAGACAACUACAAUAAAACAACCAUACAAAUGAAAAGCUUCAGAAACUAAUUAAUCGAGCAGAGAAGAGUCCAAUGGAGGCUUCAAGACCAAUCUGACUCCUGGGCUCCUACUUAACGAACUUCACAAGAAAAUCCAUCUUCUUCUUUCCAAUCUUCUUGAAGGUAUAAGGAUAGUUGGCAAUCCUUCUAUCCCACAAAACAUCUGAAGUUACUAUUCUCUACCAAGAAGAACAAGCUCUAAAGUCAUUAACUCCCUCAUGGUCUCAGGUACAUCAUGCAUAUGCAUGUCAUGUGUUUUUCACAGAGGAUAGCAGCUCUGCUUGCUAUGCUAUCUGGUUCUGAGUCCUUGGUUGUCUUUGAUUUCAAAGAUCCUGUUAGCAUAUUCUAAUAGGUAUGUGCUUGGCCUUUAAAACUGUUAUGUAACAACUGAGUUUUUUAAAAGCCUUGGUGCUCAAAUCAGUCAUGGGUUGAGAUCUUGUGUUGUGCCAACCCGUGACCAAAUGUUUUGCGGUCCAUGGCUCCAGUAAGCCAUAAUGAUGCCCAGACCAAAGGUAAGGCUGGAACUGUCUGUGUCCAGACCAGUUCUCAUUGGCUGAGUCGUGGUCCAUUGAUGGACUGAGUAAGAGGUUGUAUAACCUUAUUACUCCAUGUUUAAAUCAAACAUGUUUUAGGAAAGGUAUCAUUGUGUCCUUGAGUUGGCUCGUGACAACUGUGUUGGAUCUGCAACAUAUCACUUCUGUCCAAAACCUUUCUGAAGCAAGUUGGCAGCUUUGCUGGCGUCAUUCCUUUGAUGCCUGUCUGCCUAUAUAUUGUUAUAGCUUUGGCUAUGCUCGUUGGUUGUUGAAAUUUGCUGUAUUGCAUUUUCAUUAAUUGAGUAUAGUUUCAUGCUUGCAUUGUUCAUGCUGCUCUAAGUCUUCCCUGUGAUUAUAAAUCUUAGAGCUUGAACUAAAAACUCUUUUUAUAAACUCAUAUCAUGUUACAUACCAUGAGGGAUGUGUAGUGCAAUCAAUCCAAGAAGUGUUCACGGUUGAAUCAGCUAGCUGAAUUCACGAACAAGGCUUCUGAAAUCGUUUCCAGCUGUGGCUGCUUAGAAACAAGAGAGGAGAUAGGUCUAGACUAGUUUGGGACUAGAUAGGAUAACAUAGUGUUGUUGUAUCCCUGGAUCUGUUAUUCUUGUAAUAAGUCAGUUUUAUAUAGUGGAAAGGUUUGUCCGUCAAGAGAAAAGGGGCACGCAGUUUUUCUCCCUGCUACAGGGUUUCUGCGAGGAAAAAACAUCCAUGCGUUGAUUAUUUAUUUACUGCUAUUUACUUACUGCAAAUUCGUGUUCUGUACCCUAGGAUAGCACAAGUCAUUGCUAUCCUCUGAAACAGUAAACGAAAAUUUGAAAAAUGCCUAUUCACCCCCCCUCUAGGACCUUUACUUCUUCUGUAGGGUCUGAGCCAAAACUGAAACACAAGAAGCCUAUUCUGUGCUAGCCUCACCAGCUUUCCUUGAGCUCUUCACCGUUCUCUCAUACUCUUCAGGAACCAACAUCGCGAUAUCAGCUAUGAUAGUAUCUCUUCAGGAGUUUCAGACCAAGAAGAAGAGGGUUUUUUUUUGUUGAUGAAAAAAGAAGAAGAUUGACGUUUGAUAUUCACCACCAGAUUUUGCUAAAUAUAAUUAAAUUUUAGAUUAGAGAUGAGUUAGAGGUGGGUUAGAAUUAAAGUUGGUUAGAGGGUUUAAUAAGGUUAACAGGGGUUAGUGGGUGUUAAGCUGAGUAGGCAAAAAUUGCCAAAUGUCAAAUUUUAAUAGAAUUCAGGGAAGGAGUAGGAAAUUGGUGACAGGAUCCCCUAUACCCACCUCUCACCAACCACUUCUUUACCAAAACAUGUUCAAUUUAUAGCAGAAUGGUCUGCAAUAACUUUUGGCAUUGCUGCAGGUCUAAAAUGUUUUCUUCAAAUAUUAACAAUCUUUCAUAUAUUCAUGGAUCAUUCCUACACUCAAUCCCAUAUUUAGGACAAUCUUUAGGUAUAUUAUAUUUCAUCUGCUUAAUCACACCUAAUCGGUGAUAAACCAUUUCCGACUUGUGAGAUUGCGAGUUUAUUGGCAAUAAGCAAGAUUAUAAUCUUAUAUAGAGCUCAACAGUUCCUCGAUCUUUAUUUCCCCCCAAUUCUGCUCAAUAUGAAUGAUAGAGGGAGGGGCUGGAAGGUUGCAAGUGAUGAAGGAAGCAUAGGAGAAGAAAACGACAGAGCUCGGCAACAACAGUUUGAAAUUUAAGUACUAUUAUUAAUUUCUAAAUAGACGAGCUACAUAGAUUGUGACCUAGGAGAUGACAUACAGAACGAUAACUUAAGGAUUCCUUCAUGAGGAAUCCCAAGUGGAUCUCAUAAACACCCACAACUUUAUUCUCACGU